rnacentral:lncRNA from 1 species
GUCAGAUCUGUGUGAAUCAAAUAGGUAACAUGUUAAACUGAUUCAUUAGAGGAGAGAAUUCAAAGAUGUAGUGACCAUCAUUCCUAAACAAAUAACAAAAUAAAGGGUCAAGGAGAGAACGAGCAGUGGCGGUGUAGCUGGAGGCUCGCUGGCCACUACCUUCGGUGAGGCAGCGGGAGCGGCGAAAAAAGGAAAAUGGUGAAAGGGGAAGCGUUGGCUGGUGUGUUGUCGCCGGCCGUUUGGUGUUCAACUCCAAUAGUGCUAGUAAUAGAUAGAGGAGGAUGGAAAUUGGUGGUAGUGUGGUACUCGCCGACCAUUCGGUGGUUAAAUCCGGUGGUCGGUGGUAAGGGUAGAGAGAAAAGAAAGUUUGAUUUUGGGAGAGAGAGAAAAAAUUAGAUUGUGAAAUGUGGGUGUAUAUUUUAUUAUUUGUGUGUGGUUUUAGGUAACUGAUUUUGAGUAUAUGUGUGUGUAUUUGUGGGUAGUCCAUCAGAGCACUGGUGGUGGAGAGGCGGCAGUAAGAGCAGCCAUGGAAGUUGAAUAGUGGAAGAGAGAGGAAAAGAUGUGUAUGAAUGAAAAGAGAAAAAAAUUAGAUUUUGUAUAUGUAUUUUGUUUAUGUGAAGAAAUACACCCCACCCACUUAUAUUUAUAAUAAAAAUAAGUAUCUUCUAUUAUCCAAAAAAUAAAAGAAUGUCCCCUAUUUUUAUUAGCACACCUUUUGUCCUUAGGAUAUUGAUCAAAAAAUUUUUAUCCUUUUGACCAACGGAUAAGGUUAUUAUCCAAAGUGUAGUAUCAUUGAAUUGUUAUUGUCAGAUAUGACAAGUCAUUAUGUGUAGUCAUUGUCAGAUGUGACAAGAUAUUAUUGUGUGAUCAUUGACGGAUGUGACAAGUCAUUAUGUGUAGUCAUUGUCAGAUGUGACAAGAUAUUAUUGUGUGGUCAUUGACGGAUGUGACAGACAUUAAAUUAUUAUAUUGUGUAAAAAUAAUUGAUCCGACUUAGCAUUUGCGGACUAUAAAAAAUGUACAAAAUGCAGGUAUUAAUUUGUGAUUAUGAAAAAAUGUAAAGAAUGUUGAAAAUAUUAAAAAAUAUAAUUAAUUUGAAAAUGUAAUUAAAAUGUGAUGUCAUGUCAUGUAUGUGUGCGGAUGAUUCUGAAAGUGUUAAAAUGAUAAUGAAUUGAUAAAAAAAGUCUAACAUACAGAUAAUUAUUAAUAAAUUAUGAUAAUUAAAAAAUAUGACAAAAUUCUAAAGUGAGGAUGAUUAAUAAUUGUAAAAAAUAUGUGAAAAUUGUGUUCUGUGCCCUUUAACGAUCAGGAUGCCUAAAGACAUUAAUUUUGAGUACGGAGAACAAAAAUUGAGUGUUAACAGUUGCCCCUUUAUAUUUGAGGACGAUGUAGAAGUCUUCACAUGACAAUGUUGACGUGUAGCCAAUUUUGCUCGAUAAAAAAAUAAUUUUGAUGAAAAUUCGACCGAACUCUAAUUGAGAGUUGCCUACAUACCUCAAGUUGCAUAAGGAACAGGUCAGGUGUAGUUCAAAAGAAUAGGGGAAUUUCCUCUUGCUUUGUUAUAAAAGGCAAAUGAUCAUUCGAAAUGAUUAUAAAGAAGAGGAUUGUUUGAGAACGGAAGUGCUUACAUAUUCUCGAUGCUCCUUCUGAAAUUGCCCCAGUAUCGAGCUGUGAGAUGCUGGGGAUUCAAGAUUAUGUACUUGCUGGGGAGAAAGAAUGAUUAGAUGAUUGUGAUGACCAAACUCUGCAUAGAUCGUUCUACAUAUCUCGAGUGUCGCGAGAAUCAAGUCAAUGUAGUUCGAAAUGAGAAAAUAGGGAAAAAAAAUUUAGGCGAUGGUCAAAAUUUGCCCCAUUGUAUAAUUUAUGGAUAGCAUUUGGCUUUUUGAAUGAAAAUUGAAAAAAUGUUUUGUUGUUUUGAAUUGUAUUUUUGAUUGAAAAGAUGCAUGAUGUCUUCAAUUGUCUACGGAGACUUAAGGAUGAAUGACGCCUCCGAUUGUUUAUGGAAACUUAUGUGAUGUGUGAAAGAUAUCUUCGAUUGUUAACAAUGACUUGAUGCAUGACAUCUCCAAUUGUCGAUGGAGACUGAUAUUGAUUGUCGUCUUCGAUUGUCUAUGGAGACUGAUGUUGAAUGAUGAUGUCUUCAAUUGUCUACGAAGACUAAUGACAUCUCCAAUUAUCUAUGGAGACUGGUGUGGAUUGUCGUCUUUGAUUGUCUAUGGAGACUGAUAUGAUGAAUGAUGUUGUCUUCGAUUGUAUACUAAGACUUGAUGCAUGACUUCUCCAAUUGUCUAUAUAGGCUGGUGUGGAUUGUCGUCUCCGAUUGUCUAUGGAAACUAAUGUUGAAUAAUGAUGUCUUCGAUUGUAUGGGAAUACUUGAUGACAUUUCCAAUUAUCUCUGGAGACUGAUGUCAUUAACUAGUAAAGUGAUUGAAUUCUAUGGUCUCUCGAUUAGUAGAACAGCUGGAAGGUAGUAGUCUCUCGACUGUCGUGGCUAUGAAAAUGUAAGAGCCUCUCGACUGGCGGGGAUAUUGAAAGUUAAUAUCCUAUCAACUAGCGGGGCUAAGAAAUGUAUUAUCUCUCGACUUGUGGAGCAUUAGAAAGGUAAUAGCCUCUCGAAUAGAGGAGCUAUGAAAAUGUAAAAGCCUCUCGACUGGCGGGGCUUUGAAAGGUAAUAGCCUCUCAACUGGCGGAGCUUUGAAACGUAAUAGCCUCUUGACUGGCGAGGCUAUGAAAAUGUAAAAGCCUCUCGGUUGGCAGGGCUUUGAAAGGUAAUAGCCUCUCGACUGGCGAGGCUAUGAAAAAAAAGCUAUCGACUGAUGGAGUUACUGAAAGGUAAUAUUCUCUUGACCAAGAUCUUACCUUUCUCAAUAAAUUCUUGAAUCUUGUACCUCAAUCCUGAACAUUCCUCAGUAUCAUGUCCUUGGAUAUAUAAAUUAUAUGCACACCUUUUGAACAAGUCAAAAUUUGAUGGUGGGUACUUAGGGAUCAAACCUUUUCUUGGUUUCAAAAUUCCUUGAGCAAAAAACUUUGGAAUAUGCUAAUCAAAGGUUUAGUUAAAGGGGUAAAAGUAUGAGAUUUUAGUUUCUUUGGUUGAUGAGAAUUAGAUAUCACUAGAUAAGUAUGUUGUUGGGGAUCACGCUGGUUAAAAUUUUGAUAUUGAAAAGCUUGUGGGUUAUAUGGGUCAAAAACAGCAUAAGUAGGUUUGGUAUUUGGACAUUGUGGUUCUUGAGAUGGAAGGGUUGAGAUAUCUUCUUCUAUUUCUUCUUAUGGUAAGGGUUUUUGUGCUUGAAGGGUAGCUUGUAUUGCAAAAACAUCAAUAACCUUUCCUAUUCAAAUGGGAUAUUUUAAUCUCUUCCUAAUUAAAAUCAGCUCGUCGAACCCUUGGACACAUGAGCAACAUAACUUUUGGUAGUAGAUACCAUCUAGAAACCUUAUGAAAUCUUGAACCAACUCUUUCUUGGCAUAGGAGGACGUAUCUUAGAAACUUCCAAUCUCCAUCGUGUCAUAUAAUCCUUAAAAGAUUCAUGAGUCAUUCUCCUUAUUUAUAACAAGUCCAGCAUUGCUGGAUUGGCCUUGAUAUUAAACUUAUAUUGGCACACAAAGUCUUGAGCCAUGCUCUCCCACUAUAUCAAAGUAUUGUGUGACAUACUAAGUAAUUGUUAUUCCUGAUAGGAUUUGAAUGAACAAUCUCAUCAAGAGAGCUUCAUUGUCUCUUAUGCCAACUAAUGUGCUACAUUAGUCCUUCAGGUGCGAGAUUGGGUCUCCAUGCCCAUCAAACACAUUGAAUUCUUGAAUUUUAUAUCCUAGAGGCAAAUCAAUCGUUGGAUGCAGGCACAACUUCUUAUAUCUCAAAUAAUAAAUGCCCUUGGGGAGUAGACACACAUCCAACCUCUUUUCCAAGUCAAGAAACAUUUAUGUUACCAUGUUUCGCAAAGUACCAAGGAAAUAACUAAGGAGAUGUGAGUAAGAAGGUAUCUUAUGCUGGGGAAGAAGAAAUUUGUUAGAAGAAGAAUCAAGAUGGUUAGGCAUAUUUGUCAAAUUGCAGACCUUUAGCUGAUUCGAUAUUCAAAUGUAAGACAACCUUUAAACAAAAUAAACAAGCUAACGAAAGUUACCACAUAGCACAUAUAAUUUUAACACAUAAUAAAUAUAAAAACAAAAGGCAUUCUAGAAUGAAGACUAGAACUUAAUAAGUGAUCUAGGUGUAAAGAUUUGAGCUCCUAACGCAUAAAAUAUGAUAGUAAUAGAACAUGAUGUCAUUUUACAAUUGUGAUUACAAAGAAGAUAAGAAAGAUAGGAAAUGAACAAGGUCAACUUUCAUUGAACAUCAGAUUUGUUGAUCAUACAUGACAUUGUUAUUAUCUAACUCCAUGUAAAAAAAUAACGAAAUAGGGAAAAGGAAGAUUUUAUUAUGAUGAGACCAAACUCAACAAAUAAGCACCUAUGUAUCUCUCAUACAGGGGAAUCAGGUCGACCGUAGUUCACAUUACAUAAGCAAGGAAAACAAAAAAGGAAAUUGAAAAUUGUAAAACUUGAAUGAAUUUCAAAUGUUUGGGAGUCUGGAGUAGAGAAUCAAUAUGAUAUCUUCUUCACUAUUGUUAACCAGUGCAAGUCAAUCUUAGGAAAUCAAUCUGCAUUAGAAUUUGACCCCAUCACAUUUAUCACCUGGGUAUCAAUCAUAUUUUGGAUCAUGCUCUUUAAGGAAAAACAUGCCUUAGUAGGAUACCCUUUCAUCCCAGAAUGGUAGGCAUAAAUUUGGUCAGGGCAAUACCGCCUAGACUUAGUGUCAGCCGGUACAACAGCAAUGGGUGUGAUGUAGCCCAUAUUCUUGAGUCCUUCAUACAACUGUUGUACGGUUUCACCUAGAAGAGUGUACUAUUUUGGUGGAUCUUUCUGAAGCUUAUGUUGAGGUUUGGUGGAUAAUUUUGAUUGUUGAUUUUUUGGUGAGUUUUGGAAAUACAUUGGAAGGUAGUUUGAUGUUGGAACAACAAAUGAAGGUGAGUACCAAACAGUUUGUGGAGGAUGUUUUGUGAAGGACUGGGGAUAAUAGGCUUAGACAUAUUGGAAUGAUUUUCUGGAGUUGGGUACCAUAUCAAUUGAGGUUGGGGUAUGCUUACUUCAGGCUUUAGAGGUUUUGAUAUCUCAUCGAUGGUUGUCUUUCCCCUAUUCAAAUUGGUCUCAAUUUUGAGCUUCCUCUUUAUCUUAUUAUUGAACCUCCUAAGAAAAUUAGUUGUUAAAUCGUCCCAAGAGAUCCACUUGCUAGUAUCAUUUCAGCAUACCACAUCAAUGUUGGACCCUUAAAUGAACUAACAAAGAGUUUCGUCUUAAGGUUAUCACUUUGCCCUAUAACCGAUAGCUCGUUAAGGUACUCCUUCAAAUUGGAAUGUGGGUUUCCAGACCCAUCAUAUAAUGGAAAGUUCAAGUCCUCAAUUUUAUCCUUGUCUCCUUCCUUAGCUUUGGGUGACUUAUUCAUCUCAGGCUGUUGAGAUGACCCUGCCUUAUGGUUAAGAAUUUGUCCUCCUAUUUCCUUCUCCUUGACCAUAGUUGUCGACCCAUUGAGUACUUUCAAUAGUGCAACUGAAUACCAACUUUAAGACACUCGUCGAUAUAGAAGAUGACAUAGUAUAGGAGGGAGCUAUGAAGUUAGUUUCAAAUAAUGACUCUGGAAAAUGUAGUGGCAUCUCAACUAAACCUCGGAGAUAAGUCAUUAUUCCCCUAAUUCUCUCUAUUCUUCUUUCCAUCCAUAUGAUACUCGAAAUAACUUUGUUUUGAUGCAGCCUCGAACUUUCAUGCCCAGCUUUGCUAUUGACAAGAUUGAUAAACAUUGCUUGACUAGCCAUUUCUGAUGCUUAACUUUAGUCAACCUUAGAAGACAGGACUUACGAUUAUAAACAAAGAGUACACACCAGAGUCUAGAGUGAAUAUUCUACUCAUUAGAAAAUAAUGAGUUAUACUUAUCCGAAGUGAAUAGAAGUUAUAAGAGCUCUAUGUAACUUAGAGGUUGUGAAAUUUAGAGUACGACAUGAGUAUGAUGAUAUUAAUGUCCAAGAAUCAUGGUAGGACAAUAGUAUAUAAAUGUUAGAAGCAUUAGGAAGAGGAUAUCCUAACAUGAUAAAUUGCACUAACAGAUUAUGAAUGAGGCUGAAACUCUUUAUCAAAGCAAGAGUUGAGCAUAGGGAUGAUUAAUAUACUAAUGGAUGAGUUAGGCUGAUAGAUUGAAGGGAAGCUUUUGAAUAGGCCCUAAGAGUGAAUUGUAAGGCCCUAACAUGACAAGAAUAUUAAGAGUAAAGAGUUCUAAGGUGAGGAACACUAAAAGUAAGGAGUGACUAAGACAAGAGCGAAAACAAAAGAUAGGUAAGAUAUCAAAACAUACGUAGAAAUGAAACAUAUAACAAAUAAUAUUAUGCGUCCUUAUGGGGUAUGAACCCCUUUAGACUUUGAAUGAGACUAACAUUCAACGUACCAAGGGUUCCAAGGCAUCCUAGGUUGAAUGGGAUGCAUAUUCCUUAGUAAAAGAAAUAUGUAGCCAGGAUCUAAAAAACAAGAGUGGGUUUAUGACAUGGUUCCCUCGAGUAGACAACUCGAGAGUGGGAAAGCUUGUGACUGUCGAUGCACUGCUGAUCGACCGAUCCACAAGGCAUUUUCCAGUGGGUAUUUUAGAAAAUAACAUCCGUACAACCACACAAUCUUUCGUAAAAGAAAAAAGAGAUUUCAACUGGAGGAAAGUAUUAACGGAAUACCAGUUAUAUAAAGCAGUAACGCAUAGCACAUAGAAAAAAGAACAUGCUAAGCAAUAUACACAUAAAUAAACAUGAUAACACAUAGGCAACAAAAAAGGAAAAAGGGAAAGGGAUAGACAUGGAGACAUAUGAAAAACACAUAAAAAGAGAAAAGGAGAAAGGACAAAUAAAUCAUGAUAUAAAUGAAUAAUAAAAGUAUAACAUGUAGAAAAUAAAUCAUGAUAUAAAUGAACAAUAAAAGUAGGACAUGUAGAAAAUAAAUCAUGAUCUCAAAAACAAACAUUAUACACAAACAUCAAAACAAAUAGAGAGAAUCCCACAUAAAGCACAAAUUCAUAAUGGUAAGAACCUAAGUAUUUUCAGCAAAGUUGUCAUUCUGUCGCGCCCCAUUUUUCUUGUGAAAACCAAAAUUAGACAUGACUACUCUUUUUGGGAUUAUUUAAAGAGUGUGAUGAGUCGCCACCUAACGUAUUAGGGUGCGUUAGGGCAUUGGUCUAGGCUAACUACGAACCUAUUUUUGUAAUUUAGUCUUAGUUCAUCAAAAAUUUGGGUAAGGGUUCAAAUUACCUCGAAAGGAAGGUGUUAGGCAUCUUUCGAGGUCCACAAAGGUGGUUCCCAGCCAAAUUCGUACUUUACAUGGGGAUUCUAUGUGAUCAAAUAAAAGUCAUUAUUUCAUUAAUAACUUAAUAUUAACUAAGUGAUAAAGUAAUUAAUGAACAAACAUGUUAUUUGGUUAUUCCUAUUUGAUAAUUACCUAAGAGGUAAACAACACAAGAAUUAAUAAAGGAAUAAUAAAAGCGAUAAUGACACAAAUUAUAGCAGAUGGGACUGAUUAAAUAAACCAACUACCCCAAAAUAGAUAAGCAGAUAAAAAUAAAAGAAUAAAAUCAAAAAGUCGAACCAAGGAAAUAUUUUUGAUUUCAUUCGGAUCAGAACCCCAACUUGUUUAAUCAUUAUCCGACCCAUUGACCGAAUUCUUAGACAAGUGACAAUGUCAUAAGUCGUGUAAUAUAUGUUGGAUAUCAUCACUUUCGAAUGACUACCCUCCCUCACCUAGGCUGGUUGUCAAACUUAAAAGCGUUCUAAAAAGAAAGGAUAAAACUAAUGCCUCUAGAAUGCCUAUCAUCCCACUUAUCGCCCAAGAGGCAUUGGGCUUUGCUAAUAUAGAUAACCAAAGCUAUGUUUGCUAGUUUGACCCAAAGCGCGUUAAACAUGUUGGACAACAAGUAGCACAUAAUUAUCUCAAAUGAGCCUCUUGAUUAAUUAAGAGUUAGUUAAUGUGACUAGCAUGCAAGAGAAGCAAUUAUUUAUUUUUUGAUUAAAUCUAUAGACAUGAUAUCUAAGUGUCACGUAAUUAUUAUCGACGAAGGAUAAUUGUAAAUCAUUUUUAAAACAAUGUUGUAAAUUUAUUAAGAAUAAAAAUGGGUAAGUCAAAGUAAAGUAAAUGUGUUGGGAAGUGAUACCGGUCAAUUAAUAAGCCAAAUAUGUUGUCAAUUAAUGAAAAAUACUGGAAAGUAUGCUAGGCAACAUGUUCACUUGAUGAAACUAAAUAACAUGUAGGAAUUAAAUUAGUAAAAACACUGCUGAAAAUUCAUUUCAACAUACAGAAGAUUCAUUUUUGUAUCUUUAAUAUCCUGAAAAUCAAUUUGAUGAACUGAAAAUUAACUCUAUUGUGUUGAAAGUUAAUUUUUUUUAAGUGUUGGAAGAGUAGAUUAAUAUGCUGAAAUGAUGUAAAAGGCUGAGCAUUAUUUUAUUUUUUUGAUAAAAAUAACAAUUUUGUAUGCUGGAAAUCAGUUUUAUAAGUGAAAAAUUAACUAAAACUGCUGAAUAUUACUUUUAAAUGCUGCUGAAAAAUGUUUUAAAUGUUGGAAAGUGACUUAAUAGGUUGAAACUAUAUUUUAAAUGCUGAAAAUUUUAUCAAUAUGCUGAAAAUAAAUAGAAACAUGCAGAAAAACAAAUAUAAAUAUUGAAAAUUAAUUUGACAUGUUAUAGGUUAAAUUAAUAUGCCCAAAAUAAUUUUUUUUUCAUGUCAAAAGUCUACUAACGGCCUUAAAGACAUGAUUUCUAAGUGGUAAAACAAGUUUAUAUUAAUCCUAUGAAUUUGCCUAAGUGAUUUGCGUAAGCAAACAAAAGCACAUAAAUACAUAAACCUAAGUUAUGUUUGCCUAUGUGAUUCAUAGAGCACAUAAAUCUCCGUCCCCAAGCAGUCCCUAAUUUAUUAUUAUUAGGGUAGAGUUGUACAAUAAUUACUACAGACCAAUAAUAAAUGAAAGAAAAAACACUAAGAAGAGCUAGAUUGCAUAGCCCUCAGCGACUCUCAAGUCCAUGGCAAAUCUGUCUCAUCUAACCAUUAGUCUUUAAUCUAUGAACACAAAAAAAAGAACCAAAAUACACUUUGAAUCCGAAAUAUACCUUUGGCAAUGCAUAACCAAACCCUUGGCUCUAUCGAGAUCCUAAGGAUCUCUGGAAUCCCAGGCAGGCUCACACCGAAGGAGUUAUGUGAUGCGCAAAGAUUAUUUCAGAUUCAUAAAUAAAUAUUCUAGUGGGGAACAACAUUUAACAGCAAGAGAAAGUAUGUCAUAUUGACAAAAGCAAAUAGCAUGAGCAUCCUAGUAAGUCACGAAAUAAAUGCACAAAAAUGAAUAAAAGGCUCAUGUCAUCAAACUCUUCAAAUGUUUAAAGUAAGUAAAUCGAAGUGGGAUCAUAGUCAUGUAGAAUAACAUAAAAAAAAAAUAAUGCAUCGUUCGAGAGAACUAACCGAUUAACAACACAAUAACAAAAGAAAAGUGAACUUUCAAAAGUAGAUAAACAGUCGUACGAUCAAACAAGAACCAGCAAUCCCAAAGUAGAAGCAGGAAGCAAAAUUUAACCCAAAAGUAUAGUGUGGAAGAGUAUAGAAGUUAGUGAAAAUUUUCUGUAUAGAGAGUAGGAGAGCAUGAUAAGAGAUGUCCUGAAUACAAAUGAGGGGUGGCCGUUAUAUAGUGAAGGGACCACAAAAAUAAAAGAAAUAAGAAUAUUUGAUCAUUCAAACAAGGAGAUUAUUUUUCUACAUUAAGGAGGUAAAUCUAUUAACUUCACCGAUCAUGCUAUGGUUGCAACAAAUAAACAAAUAAGAAUCUAUCUAAAUCUUAAUAUUGAAAUCUUCCAUAAACAAAAUAAGGAAAAAAAAAUCUUUCCUACUUAUUAAAGAAGUCAAGAGGUGGGUAAAAGAUAUUAGUAUCAAUCAAUUAUAAUAUCAUCUACAUUUACCAUAAUUAAUACGUAAAUGAAUAUCUGUCACACUAAAUAAGGUCAAAGAGAAAUGAGAAAAUCAAUUAGUGAAAUAGUUCAUCAAAAAUCAAGGAAAAAUCGAAUUAGACACAAAAUCAAGGUAAAUGAGUGACAUCAAUAGGCAAAAUGUACCCAUAUUAAGUUUGCUACAUAUAACCUCAACAAAAAAAUCACGCAAUAUGUCACACAUAUUACAUGUAUGGAAUUAUCUUAGAUAGAGAGAUGAAACUUCCACAAACUAAUAUGCAGCACUAAACAAGUUAAGGGUAAAAUUGGGGCUUUCACAAUUGGGUAGUGUAAAAAUGUAAAUAUGCAUAGAAUUAAGUCAACCUAUCUCAGGAAUAUCACAAAUUUAAUAUCUAAAAAUCAUUGAAUAGGUAGAAGAAGAUGACAUUAUGAAAAUUACAUUACAGAAACAAACUUGACACGGAUUCAUAGAAUCUGUCAUGUAUUUCAAUGCUUUUGGACAAAAUAUAGUUGAGCAACAGCGAAGGCAGUGGCGAAAAGAGAGGGAAUAGCAUUGGGGAUCCUUUGGUUAGCUCUCCAGCCGUAUGGCUACUUGUAGCGGAGAUGGUUGGGUUCGUUGAUGGUGGAACCGACGGUGAUGAUGGCAGUGGCGGUGCUUAUGGAUGUUUCCAUUGUUCCUUUGGUGGUGGGCGACUAUGAAGGGAAUACGCAGGCUGGAGAGGCACAAGGAUGAAUGAAGGCGGUGGAGAAGGGUGGUUCGCUAGUGGAGAGAGGAGAAUGAAGAUAAGGGAAAGGGUGGCAAUUUUGGUAUAGAGGUUGCCGACCGACUGGUAAUCACAUCCAGUGGUGGCUGGAUCUUAGAUAGAGAAUGGGAGCCCAGAGAGAGAAACAAGGUGCGGUUAUUUUGGAAUAAUGAAUUAGAGUUUAGUUCUUUAAGUUUAAAAAGGCAAGAGUAUCCUGAGUAGAUCUUAGUCAUUAGAUCAAUUUGAUUUGCGCCUGACAUGGAGGAAUUUAAAAAUAGGUCAUAAACUGGGAUUUAAAUAGGAACUCUAAGUGAUAUCAAUUUUGGCUAAAAUUGAUAUCAAUUGGAAUAAAAAAUUAGCUAGAAAUUAAACACAAGAAAGGAAAAUUGGAUAAAAGUGAUUGUUAGUUUAAUAAAUGUAAUAAAUGAAAUAAGAUGUCCCUAUUAAAAUAAAUUAAUGUUACGUAAAAUAAUUAUAAAAAUUAUCGAUAAUAAUAAUAGACAAUAUAUUUGUAAAAUAUGAGUGUGCACAUGUACGUGAAAAAAUAAUUUAAUAAAUAUUAAUAAAAUUAUGUAAAAUGUCAUACUUGAAUUAAUAAAUUAUAAAAACAAUACUAAAAAAUAAUAAAAUAAUUUGUUCAUUUUUAAAUCGUGAAUGUGGCUUGUUGAAAAUUAUCUAAUACCAAAAUAAUGCACAAAAAAUAUUAAUAUUAAAGGUUAAAUAAUUUUGACAAAAAUAGCUGUCUAAGAGAGCAUCGAGAUGUCAAAAUUGGGUGUCAACACCAAUAAUUAGUAGUGUGUAUAAGAAUUUCUCCAUUUUUUUCUCAGCUAACUGAGGUCAACUUUAGGGUAACUCCUAUAGUUUUGAGUGGUACCUCAGCCAUACCUAAGUAUCGACAAGAUUCAUUCGGCUUGCUUCAAACAAAGAUUUUGAACUGUGCCUAUUCUCAUGUUUCAAGUGGCCUCUCUAGAAAGAGNNNNNNNNNNNNCAUUUUCACAACUAUUUGAGUAUUUUUAUUUUGAAUGUAGAGACGUUCAGAGAUAUACACUCACACUCAGAAAGUUCACUGAAUGCAAUUGCCAUACCAUAGGCUUGGCCUUCAUGUAAGUAUCUACUAAUGUGAGAACACUUAGAGUAGGAUCUUGUAGGACUUGUUAUUGGCUUAUAAUGUAGGCUUGGGAUCGGGUAGGAUGACAUUUGGAAUAAAAGUGACUAGUUCCUUAAUAAGCAUUGCACUGUAUCCGUGCUUUUGACAUUUGUUGCACUUUGACGCUCGAUCUUCUUUGUUUUUCUUCUUUGCCCCUUGUUUUGUGUUUACUUCGACGUCAUUUGAAUCUUGUGCUAGAGAUUUUCUCCGUUUCUUUUCAAUAAAUUUUUUUUUGGAUGAAGAUUCUCCAUCUUUGUUGGAGUUUCCUUUUUUUUCCUUUUUUAUGAGGAUUUUUGCUCCUUCUUCUUUAAAGUCGUCUUUUAUUUUUGUUCUUCUAGGGCUAAUAUGCUAUUUGCCUUUGGGACCUUUGAUCUUGAAUCUUCAUUCACAACUUGUAUAUACUUAGUACGCUCAAGGAGGUGGGCCAAAAGAGGGAUAGUUCAUGUAAGCAAUCAAAAGGUAUAGGCUCAGAUCUGGUUAUCCAAUGAAAAACUUUCAGGCUCAAAGGGGGAAAUGCUAGGAUUAAUGUCAUUUAAUGGGCUUUGGAAGACCCGAUCGGAUCAAAGAAGGCCUACAAUCCUUUAUCAAACCAAGUGUAUCUCAAAAUUUCCCCUCAACAGAUAUUCAGGCCAAGUUCUAGAUCAAUAAUGCCAUGCAAUGAACUAAUCUAAAGCUCACCACAUAAUGCACUUGAAAUAAUGAGGUUGACUUCGUUCUUGUCUUAGAUGAAUGCAAGAGAAUUUUUUUUUCAAAUGUCACUCAGGUUUGACUAAGUGGUACCAAAAGAAUCUAUGGUUUACCAUGAAGUUAGUCUUCUCCAUCAUACCACUUUGUUCUUUCUCAUGCACACUCCUAACUAUGUUGGUACCAACCAAGUCAUAAUUUUAAUAUUUUUAUUUAUUUAUAAAAAAUAAUGUGACAGGAUCCGAACGAGGGUUUGCCUACAUAUCUUGUAAAAAUAAGAAUCAGGUCUGGGUAGUUCAGGAAAAUUUAUAAAUAUAUAUAUACAACAUGUAGGAAUGUACAAGAGUGGUGAUCAUCCUUGAAAGUAAUAUGAAAGACGAUCAGGAAGAUUACUUAUAUCAUCAAAAUUGGUCCGAUCAGAUGAUCGAGAGGAUGGAUGUCAAGCAUAAGGAGUGUUUUGAAAUUACUUCAAUAUGUCAACAAGAUUGAGGAGGUCAGACAUUGAAAAAGUUAUGGCAUUAUUUCACCGCAGUUGGCAGGAUUGUUAUGAAUGAAAGAAUAUUGAACCCUUGUUUUAAGAGUGGAGAUCAAUAUGCCGUAAAUUUAAUGGUUUACCACGUUAGAAAGAAGAAGCUAGGUGUUCUCGAAUAAAAAUUGGGUGAGAAUUUGGAGGUAGACCCGCUAGGCACUAAUGUUAUUGAGAUUUAGAUCUGAGCAGCUAUUUAUUUGCGCUAAGACCUUUAGAGAGCGUCUUUGAACUGUUACAAAAAAAUUGCCCAGUUUGAAUACUGAAGGAAUUAUUCUAAAGCAGUGAAGAGACUGAAACCUAAUACAGGGAUGCCUACGUAUCUUGUCAUGACAAGAAUCAGGUCAAAACAUAGUUCAAACUCUUUUUUUUUAAUGAGUUUAUAUAUGAUGUGAUUUAUUUCUAUAAUAGAAAUUUUCCUAACUAGUUGAGAGUAGGACCGAAUAAUUGUGAAAAGUCACACUAACAUAAAUGCACCAAUUCUGAAACUAAGAAAUCCAAAGAAGGUUCAGAGGACUGCAGUACACCCUUCGCGUGUUCAGUGUGUGAAUUGUGUACGGCCAAAGACUCAAUGAAAUUGUAGUUUAGGAUUAAAUAAAAUAAAGAAUAAUGUGUAAAAGUUUUUUUUACAAUAUACAAAUACAAUGUAUUAAACAAGUAAGGAAUAAAAGAAUUGAUAAGGCAACAAAAUUAAUUUGCACAAAUAAUGUAGUGAAUUCAUGAACAAGUCUACGCAAUUUGCAAUGUGAAACAGAUAAAAAAUCAAAGAAUUAAUAUAUGCAAAAAAUAUAAAAACACCUCCCUCAAUUGAAAAAUUGAGUCUAUCAUGGUUAGAACCUGCUGUUAGUCCCCAGUGGAGUCGCCAUUCUGUCAUGCCCUAUUUUCACCAAGGUUAAACAGAACAUGACUUAUUGACUCUAAAUGAAUUAAAAAUUUGUACAGAGUUGCCACCUAAUUUUUAGGAAAAUAAGAAAAUCUAUUUAUUUAUUAACAUGUUUGAUUUAUGUCUUAGUCUGCGAAAAUCAAUUUUGAUUCUAGGUAAGGGUUCAUAUUAUUCCGAAGAAAAGCGAUUAGGCUCCCUUCAGAAUCCACAAAUGUGGUACCCGACUACACUCAAUUUAUCAAUGAGGGAGGAGGUAAGAAAUGAUUAUUUGAAAAAUAUAAAUAUUUAAAAUAAUAUGAAAAAUGUAUGUAUAUUAAGUAUAUAAAUAAAUUUUUUGUUAUGAAAAUAUGUACAAAAGUAUGUAUAGAAAUGUACAAUUUUGAUGGAAAAGAAAAAGUAUUUUGUGACAUUUAAAAAACAAAGUAUUUUUUAUGUACUAAAAAGAAAAAGUAUUUUUUAUGAACUAAAAAGAAAAAGUAUUUUUCAAAUAAUACUUUUAUUUAAUCAAAAUCACAAAGAAAAAUAAAGAUUCAUUUGAAAAGAAAAAGCUACGUAAUAUGUAAAUGUGUGAAUUAAUUGAUUAACUUAAUUAUUUUAUGUAACUAUUAACGGCCUAAGUUUAUCCUAAAUACGCGAUAAUGAGUAUGUAAGUAAAGAAUGUUCCCGCCUGACACCCCCAAAAGUAAAUUUUCACUGUACUUUCAUCUUUAUAUACAGUUACAAGAAAUAAAAUAAGAAAUAUAGAGCUCAAAACUUUCUUCCAGAUAUCAUAGGGUGUGUUAUCGAGAAUAUGUAUACACAGGUUAGUAACAAAACAAGAUAAAUUAAGAACUAUGUGUGGGUGUGUGUAUACAAAUAUACAUAAAAAAUAGAGUCUUUUUGUUAAAACAUGGGCUUGGAUUAGAUUUUAGAUUCACCAUGGCUAUGAAGUGGUUGCUCCUAAAUCAUCUUACCAAGGCACGAAUCGUAAAACGUUUUGUGUUGUUAUAUUUUAAAGAUUUUAUCAUCACCCGAAUUUAUUUUUUUUUGUUAUGUCUUUGUAUACGCAAUGUCCAUCUUUUAUUUGGGAAGGCCUCGAAAAUCGACAGGAGUUUCUUCAUUGGCCAGGUAUUGGCCCGUGAUAUAAAAUAAUAAAUUUUGAGCAAAUAAAGUUCGUCUUUUGUAAUGGGGUGGCCUCAAAAAUCUGAUGGAGAGAUAUUAUAAUCGGCCAUGUAUUUAUUUUAAUAUAAAUAAGUAAACUUGAGAAAUAAAAAUCCGGCUUUUGUUAUGGGGUGGCCUCGAAAAUUUGACUGAGAGAUAAUGUCAUUGGCCAAGUGUCAACCCUUGAUAUAAAAUAAUAAAUUUGAGAAAAUAAAGUUUGUCUUUUGUAAUGGGGUGACCUCAAAUAUCCGAUGGAGAGAUAAUGUCAUUGACCAAAUAUUUAUUUUCCAGUGUAAUGAAUUUAAAGGGGCGAAAACAGUCAAUUUAAAAUUAGCAGGAAAAGAGAAGGAACACUAAAAAAAGUAAAUCAAUCCAUGGUAGAGACAAAAUAGCUGAAGAAAUAGCAUCCUGAGAACAAAUUCCCAAUCUAAUUUCAGGUCAAACUUUAGCAAAGCAACAUCAAAAUAACUCAUGUACAAAUAUAAAACAAAUGCUAGUAUCGCCAGAGAACAAAACAUCAUACAGAACAACAAUAUGAUAAAUAAUUAAAAAGAAGCACAAUUAUUUAUAAAUUAAUGUUCAAGGGAGUAAACACCGGAAAACCCAUAGUUUUCGGUAUUGCAGUAGUGGUGGUGGCAUAGCGGAGUUGAUUUAAUGGCAUUUGUUGGAGCAACUUCGGAUAAUCAAAAUUCGGUCAAAUCUGUGUGAAUCAAAUGGGAAACAUGUUAAACUGGUUCAUAAGAGGAGAGAAUUCAAAGUAGUGGUGACUAUCAUUCCCAAACUAAUAACAAAAUAGAAGGGCAAGUAGAGAGAACGAGCGAUGGUAGUGUGUCUGGACAUCGCCGGCUACUACCGCCGGUGAGGCAGCGUGAGCAGCAGAAAAGCAAAAAUGGUGAAAACGACGGUGUUGGCUGGAUUUUUAUCACCGGCCAUCCGAUGUUCAAAUUCGGCAGUAUUAGUGAUCGAUAGCGGAGUCUGGAUAUUGGUAGUGGUGUGGUGGUCACCGGCUUUCCGGUGGUUAAACCCGACAGUUAGUAGUAAGGGUAGAGAGAAAAUAAAGUUUGAUUUUGGGAGAGAGAAAAAAAAUCAGAUUGUGAAGUGUGGGUGUAUAUUUUAUUAUGUGUACUUUUUGUGUGGUUUUAAGUAACUGUUUUUGAGUAUAUGUGUGUGUAUUUGUGGGUACUCCAUCGAAGCUCCGGUGGUGGAGAGACUGCAGUGAGAGCAGCCAUGGAAGUUGAAUGGUGUAAGAGAGAGGAAAAGAUGCGUAUAAAUGAAAAGAUAAAAAAUCAGAUUUUGUAUAUGUAUUUUGUCUAUGUGAAAAAAUACACCCCACCCACUUAUAUUUAGAAUAAAAAAAGGUAUCUUCUAUUAUCCAAAAAUUAAAAGAAUGUCUCCCUUUUUUUUUUUAUAAUAGCACACCCUUUAGUUCUUAGGAUAUUGACCAAAGAAUUUUCAUCCUUUUGACCAAUGAAAAAAAUUAUUAUCCAAAGGGUAGUGUCAUCGAGUUUUCAUUGUCAGAUAUGACAAGUCAUUAUGUGUAGUCAUUAUUGGAUAUGACAAGAUAUUAUUAUGUGGUUGUUGUCGGAUGUGACAAGACAUCAAAUUAUUAUACUGUGUAAAAAUAAUUAAUCCGACUUAGCAUUUACGGACUGGUAAAAAUGUACAAAAUGCAGGUAUUAACAUGUAAUUAUGAAAAAAAUGUAAGAAUGUUGAAAAUAUUGAAAAAUGUAAUUAAUUUUAAAAUAUAAUAAAAAUGUGAUGUCAUGCCAUGUACGUGUACAGAUGAUUGUGAAAAUGUCAAAACGAUAAUGAAUUGAUAAAAAAAUCUAAUAUACAAAGAAUUAUUAAUAAAUUAUAAUAAUUAAAAAAUAUGAUUAAAAAUCCUAUAAUGGGGAUGAUUAAGAAUUGUAAAAAAUAUGUGAAUUAUGUUUCAUGCCAUUUAAUGAUUAGGAAGCCUAAAGACGUUAAUUUUGAGUACGGAGAGCAAAAAUUGGGUUUCAACACCCCCAGAUCUUCAUUGAUGAGGUGAGAAAGAUCACUCAAAUUAUGCAUGUUACCGAUGAGGAGAGUGUAGAAUUGGAAUCCUAUAGGUUGAAGGAUGUUUCUUAUGAUUGGGUUCUUAUAUGGAAGAAUGGUAGAGGUGAGAAUGGAGCUCCUAUGAGUUGGCAGGUAUUUCAGGAUGCAUUUCUGGAAAGGUUCUUUCCGCGUGAGAUGAGAGAAGCUAAGGUUUAGGAAUUUAUGAACCUGAGGCAGGGCUCGAUGGCGGUGAAGGAGUACUGUCUUAAGUUCACUCAGUUGUCAAAAUAUGCUCCCAAGUUGGUAGUUGAUCCUAGAUCUAGCAAGAGUAAGUUUGUUAUUGGUGUGUCUGGUUUGUUAGUUAAGGAGUGUAAGACUGUCAUGCUUGUUGGGUAUAUGGAUAUUGCUAGGUUGAUGACUCAUGCUCAACAAAUUGAGGCAGAGAGGUUGAAGGGAAGAGAGAGGGGAAAUAAGAAGGCUAGAAUUGGAUAGUUUGAGUAUGGUCAACCAAGGUCUGAAAGGAGAAAUUAUUUACAGUUCUAGGGUCAUUCAUCUAUGCUAGCACCAUCUUCAUCUAGUGCCCCUGCACCCAGAUCCAAGAAGGAUCAGUGGGAAAGGACUUGCCUAGUUAUCAAACAUGUGCAGAGUAUGGUAGAAGCCAUUCUGGUGAGUGUUUGAUAGGAAAGAGGGGUUGUUAUAGAUGUGGCAAGUUGGGUCACAGAGUCAAAGAGUGUUCAUAUGCUAAGUAAGAAGGUAGAGAUAUUCGUCCCCAGACUCAGGGUACUAGCGCACCAACUUCUCCAGGUUUCCCAGUCCCUCCUUAGGGCACAUCAUCUAGUACCGGUGGUGGUUAGUGCCAGAAUUUAUUCUAUGCAUUACCAUCCUGCUAGGAGUAGGAGAGUUCAACAGAUAUUGUUACUGGUAUGCUUCAUGUCUUCCAUUUUGAUAUUUAUGUGAUGUUACACCCAGAUUAUAUCUCUCUUAUGUGACUCCUUUGAUUGCGGCAAAUUUUGUGAUAGGUCCUAAAAAGAUCUCUAAUCCCUUCUUAGUUUCCACCCAAAUGGAUGAGUCAGUUGUUUCUAGACGGGUCUAUAAGAAGUGUCCUAUUACUGCCGUCCAUAAGAUCAUACUAAAAGACCUAAUAGAGUUAGAAAUGGUAGAUUUUGAUGUCAUUCUAGGCAUGGAUUGGCUCCAUUCAUACUAUACAUAAAUAGAUUGUCGCACCCAAGUGGUGUAGUUUUAGUUUCCUGAUGAGGCAAUUUUUGAGUGGGAAGGUAGUUCUGAAUCUUCUAAGAGUCAUUUCAUAUCCUUUCUUAAGGCCAAAAAGUUGAUAUCAAAAGGGUGAAUUUGUCAUUUAGUUUGAGUCAAAGACACUAAGUCUGAAGCUCCAACAGUUCAGUCAGUCCAUGUAGUCAAUGAGUUUCCUGAGGUUUUUCUCAAAGAUUUGCCAAGGGUACCUCCCGAUAAAGAAAUAGAAUUCGGUAUUGAUCUUCUUCCUGAUACUUAGCCCAUUACCAUCCCUCCAUAUUACAUGGCUCCGACCGAGCUUGAAGAUUUAAAAGAGCAGCUAAAAGACCUCUUAGAUAAAGGUUUCAUAAGGACUAGUGUUUCUCUAUGGGGCGCUCCAGUCCUGUUCGUACGAAAGAAAGAUGACUCUCUCUGAAUGUGCAUUGACUACCGCCAGUUGAAUAAAGUCACAAUCAAGAACAAAUAUUCUCUUCCUAGGAUUGAUAACAUAUUCGACCAGCUUCAGGGUGCAAGUUAUUUCUCUAAAAUAAACUUCAGAUCAUGAGAUCUUCAGCUUAGAGUAAGGGAAUGUGAUAUUCCAAAGACAACCUUCAGAACCCAUUCUGGUCACUUUGAAUUUCUAGUCAUUUUCUUUGGGUUGACGAAUUCCCCAGCACCCGUCAUGGACUUAAUGAAUAGAGUGUUCAAAUAGUACUUGGAUAUGUUCAUCAUAGUCUUUAUCGAUGAUAUUUUUGUCUAUUCCCAUAGUGAGAAUGACCAUGCAGACCAUCUCAAAAUUGUGUUGCAAACUCUUAGAGACCAUUAAUUGUUUGCCAAAUUCAGUAAGUAUUAAUUUUGGAUAAGAUCAGUAGCUUUCCUUGGCCAUAUUAUUUCUGGUGAUGGCAUUAGAGUUGAUCCUCAAAAGACCAAAGCAAUGAGAAACUAGCCUAGAGCUAUUUUUCCAUCAGACAUCAGGAGUUUCUUGGGUUUAGCUAGCUAUUACCGAUGGUUUGUUAAAGGGCUUUUAUCUAUUGUGUCCCCCAUGUCUAGAUUGACUCAAAAGAAAGUUAAGUUUCGGUGGUCAGAUUCUUGUGAGAAGAGUUUUUAGGAGUUGAAGACUCGACUCACUUCAGCCCCAAUUUUGACGCUACCAGAUGGUUCAAAUGGAUUUAUUGUUUAAUGUGAUGCUUCUAGAGUUGGUCUGGGUUGUGUUUUGAUGCAGAGAGCAAGGUCAUAGCCUAUGUCUCUAGACAGCUUAAACCUCAUGAGAAGAAUUAUCCCCCACAUACUUUAUCCUACACUUGAGGAGGCCAUAUACCAUGAUCAUUGGGAAACGAAGAGGGCGGGCCCCAGACAGCUCAAGAAAGUAUGCAAAGUAGGUCUUCUUAAAAAGUCCAUCUAUGUUUUCCUUCUUCAUAAUACUGUUAAGUUCGUUAAAAGGUUUCCCCAACUAACAUUUAAGUACAACAUCAUGAAAUACUGCAUUAGGGUUACUCAUCGACAUCGCAACUUGAAACCCAUCGAUACUAAUAGUUUUGACAAAUUCAUGCUGGGAUUUCGAUGUUAUUUCAAGCCCCAUUGUUGAUAAUGAGUUAUCACUUUCCUCAGCUUCAUUUUUCCCUGACUGAGAUUGUUCUAGAAGUUCCUCUGAAUCUAUUUGUAGUCUAGACUUUUUUGUUGGGUGGUCAGAAGUUGAUCCACUUUUAAUUUUUUUUUAUUUUGGGAGACAUCUUUUAACUACAAACAAUUGAAAAACAAAAAAAUACAUUGCAUUUGAUGUCUGCAUAAUUUUUUUUAAAAAGGUAAGACAAAUUUCAAUAAAUUAUUCUACGCCACAUAACAAAAAAAUACUCCAACAGACAUCCCAUCAGUUAGAACAGAUGGGGAAUCUAUUUGAAAACCUAUUUAGUAUCUCCCAAUAGAUAUUCCACCUAUUGCAACAGGUGAACAAAUUUCAAUAAAUUAUUUUACGCUACAUUACAAAAAAAAUACUCCAACGGAUAACCCAUCAGUUGGAACAGAUGGGGAAUCUAUUUGAAGAACUAUUUAAUAUCUCCCAACAGAUCUUCCACCCGUUGCAACAGACGGACCACCACCACCACAACCAAUGCCACCACUAAUGCUACCAAUACCACCACCAAUGCCACCAACACCAACACCAAAACCACCGACACCACCGCCAAAAAGCACAAAUACUAACACCACCAACAACUGCUACCUAUAAAACCACAAACACCAUCUAACAAUACCACGACAGUUAACAAAACACUGAGAGAAAAACUAGGGUUUUCUCAGGUGCUUCCUACUUUUUUAGCAAAAUUGUUAACCCAUUCUCGAAGGUAAUACAACUAAAAGUCUUGUUUUUCAUCAUUAACUAAAAAGCCCUAUUUUUUAGAAUAAAGAACAAAUGUAGAACUCUUCUCAAACUCUAUUACCUGCGAAGACAAAGAAAACGACAGAUACAAAUAGGAAUGAAGUCGAAAAAAACAACUAUAUGUGGUCAUAAAUGGGAAGAAAAUUGACCUGUUUUAAACGGUUGAGCAAUAUAUUGAGUCAUUGUUGUUUGUAUUGUGGAGACAGAGAGGAGACCCCGAGAGACAGAGAGAGAGAAAAAAGAGAAAACUUUAUAUUUGAAAUGAAAAGUUUUUCAUGCAAAUUGAUGAUUUGUAUGGGUUAAGUUGUAAUUUUGGAAAAGAAUGACAAGUAUUGAAAUUGCUAAUUUGGUCUGAAUUGAUCUUAAUUAAUUUUAAAAAUGUUAAAAGAUAUAGUUUUUAAGACAUUGAGUUGGUGAGAACUCAUUUUAAUUCAAAGUGAUCGAUCGAUGACUCAGGUCGGGAUAAAUACAGUACCAACGCCAUGCAAUUGCAAAGACUUGAUUGGAUUUAUAGUUGACCCUAUGAUCUCAUUCAUUCAUCUCUAGUUCCACCUAAAUCAACUUAGGUACUAUCACUAUCCUAACAUUGAGUUCAUGAGAACUCAUUUCAACUCAGAGUGAUCGAUCGACCACUCGGGUCGUGAUGAAUGCAACACCAAUGCCAUGUAAUUGCCAAGACUCAAUUGGAUUUAUAGUUGACCCUAUGAUCUCAUUCAUUCAUCUCUAGUUCCACCUAAAUCAACUUAGGUACUAUAACUAUCCUAUUAUUUAGUUGAUGAGAACUCAUUUUAACUCAUAGUGAUCGAUCGACGACUCAGGUCAGGAUGAACGCAAUACCAACGCCAUGCAAUUGUAAAGACUCGAUUGGAUUUAUAGUUGACACUGUGAUCUAAUUCAUUCAUACUUAGUUCCACCUAAAUUAACUUAGGUACUAUCACUAUCCUAACAUUGAGUUGAUGAGAACUCAUUUCAACUCAGAGUGAUCAAUUGAUGACUUGGGUCUGGAUGAACGCAAUACCAACAUGAUGCAAUUGCCAAGACUCAAUUGGAUUUAUAGUUGAGCUUGUGAGAUCAUUCAUUCAUCUCUAGUUUCACCUAAAUCAACUUAGGUACUGUCACUAUCCUAACAUUAAGUUGAUGAGAACUCAUUUCAACUCAUAGUGAUCGAUCGACGACUCGGGUUAGGAUGAACGUAAUAGCAAUGCCAUACAAUUGCAAAGACUUAAUUGGAUUUGUAGUUGGCCUUGUGAGCUCAUUCAAUCAUCCCUAGUUCUACCUAAAUCAACUUAGGUACUAUCAUUAUCCUAACAUUGAGUUGAUGAGAACUUAUUUCAACUCAGAGUGACCGAUCGAUAACUUGGGUCUGGAUGAACGCAAUACCAAUGCCACGCAAUUGCAAAGACUCGAUUGGAUUUAUAGUUGACCUUGUGAGCUCAUUCAUUUAUCCGUAGUUCCACCUAAAUCAACUUAGCUACUAUCACUAUCCUAAUAUUGAGUUAACGAGAACUUAUUUCAACUCAGAGUGAUCGAUCGAUGACUCGGGUCUGGAUGAAUACAAUACUAAUGCCAAGCUAUUGCAAAGACUCGAUUGGAUUUGUGGUUGACCCUAUGAGCUCAUUCAUUCAUCCCUAGUUCCACCUAAAUCAAUUGCAAUAAAAUUUAUUGUAACAAAUGAUUGAGUUGUUGAAAAUUUUUAAACAAAUAUUCAUAUUUGUUGCAAUAGAUGACAUAUCUGAUUUAAUUAUCAAGUAGACAUUUGCAUAUGUUUUUAUAGAUGACUGAGCUGUUGGAAAUUUUCAAACAGAUAUUUAUAUCUGCUGGAAUAGAUAACAAUUUGAUUUAAUUAAUUAUCAAAUGGACAUUUUCAUUUAUUGUCAUAGAUGACUGAACUGUUAGGAUUUUUAAACAAAUAUUGAUAUCUGUUGUACCAGAUGACAGAGCUGUUUGGAUUUUUAAACAGAUAUUUAUAUAUGUUGCAAUAGAGGAUAUAUCUGUUUGAAAAUCUUUUUUUCUCUUUUAAUUUUAAACAAGCUUUUGUCUGAGUAGAUAAUAUCAUGUAGUACUUACUACUAAAGGCGGUAAAAAAUAUUUUUUGAAUAUCUCAAAAGUGAGUUCAUUGAGCAGUCUUGUCUUGUCUUUUCAAUGUCACUAGUCUAAGUCUUCCUUGUGCCCCUUAAAUUAUUAAUGAAAUUAAUGAAUAUUAAAUACUAAAUAUUGAAAAUCCCACGUCUAUGUACACAAUACAUCUAUAUUAAUUAUCUCAUCUCUCUUUCUUCAGCUGCAGUUUAUUUUAUUCAACUCUUAUUUUUUUCUUUCUCUCCUUUUUAGGGUUAUCAUAACCUUUUUUCUCUAUUUUCUCUUCUCUUCUCAUAAAUAUCCUUUCGGAGCUAAACUGAUCCAUAUCUUUCUUUGACUAAAAUUGCUAUUUUGAUCCCCUUUUUGACAUUAAGAUAUGGUUCAUUAUUGCUCUUUCAUUCUCGUUUUCUUCUUUGCAAGUUAUUUACAUCUGUUUUUUUAUUUAAUUACUAUUUACCUAUAUUAUAUUUACUAAAAAAUUUGAAGGAACUUUUCAGCGUUGAAUAAAAAAAUUGAGAAUUUUUAUUACAAUAUGCAAAAAAAGUCAUCUAUUGGGAGAAGUUUAAAAGCCUUGUUGGCAGUAUCAUUUUUUUGUAUGCAUUUUGUUUGUUUAUUUAUUGUUGAUGCAAUUAUUGAUAUUGGUGGUGGGGUUGGCGUUGUUGGAACUUGUGCUGUGGUGUUGUUGAUGAUGUUGUUGGAACAAAUGUUAUUGUUUCUUUGUUGUUGAUGUUUUUUAUUUAUAGUUUAUGCUGUUGUUGAUGUUGCAACAGAUGGAGAAACUGUUGGAGCUAAUCAAACCACCAGAAAGGCUGGUUUGAUGUAGUCUAACAGACUCCACAUCUAUCGCAACAGACUCCAUAUUUGUUGCAACAGACUCCAUAUCUAUUGCAACAGACUCUACAUUUGAUGUAACAGGCUCUACAUCUAUUGCAAUAGAUGGAUAAUGUUCUUUCUAUGACAUCAAUUUUUUUCCUCUUCAUUAUAGAUAUAAGGAACUAAUAGUUGAUUGGGUUUUUUCGGUUAUCAUGGAAACACACAUAGAGUGCACUGAUUUUCUAAAUGUUAUUUUUACUAAUUAGUCAUAGAUCAUUCAAACAGGAUGUCUGCAAUUUUAGAGUUAAGUUUGGUAGGUCUGAAUUGAUAAGGCUGAGGGACCAUGAAUAUGGUUCUGAUACCCUGUUAAUAUUUAAUGUCGGAUGUUGUUCAUAUUUAUUUGUCAAGCAUUGUUAAGGGAUCUAGUUUUGGUGUCAUUGUAAAGAGAUUCAAUAGCGAUUAGACUAACUUUUAGGGUGCAUUGGACCCUUAGAGGGCCUUCAAAGCUUAGGACUGCAUCUAACAAGAACAAAAAAUCAAUAUAGUUAUUGCCCUAGCCCAAAUUUAUAUGGUUGGGUUGCUCGGGGUGAUAAUUAUAUACCAAAAGGUGUGGUAGGAGAAUGCCUUCAAGGGAAAAUAGGUGGUUGAUGAAAGACUAUAUCAUCUGAGAGCUAAUUGAAGAUGAUACAUAGGGUAGAAAGUAACUUCUAGCUAAUCUGGCCAAUGGAAUUAUCUUAAAAGAUGCAACAUCUGAAUCAAGUGCAAAUAUGAAAGUGUAUCCGGUAAUGUAAUUUUGUAUGUUAUCUAUCUAGAAAAACAUAAUGUAGAUUGACAUUUCUAGGGAGCUGCGUGGUUAGGAUUAUCACCUAGAUAGAAAAUAGGAGAAGACCAACAAAGCAGCCUCACGGGCAUCGAGGGUUGAAAUGAUGUACAACAAGUCUAGAAAACUUACGCCAAUAGCAACUAUAGUUAAAAUAAGGAAUCUAAGCGAAGACGAAAAUUUUUGAAUUUUAAAUUUCAUCCUAUGCAUUCUUGUUUGUGUUUUCGAUCAGGUCCACUACCGUUGACCUGAUCGAAACCACAAACGAGACUGAAAGGCAAAUUGCCUCCAGCUUGCUGAUUCUGUAUUCAAGCUGGUCAUUUCCGUCUUUGAAGUUGGUCAAGAGUUUCUUAUCUCUUGUGAGCUCGAUCAAGGACACCACCUUCAAAGUUGUAGCAUUUUAGGUGCCCUUCAGAAUAGUUUCUUCAGAAGCCUUAAAGGAUACAUUGAGGGUCACUGUAUUUGUUUUAGGUCACAAUAUGUUGAUGCACACUAAAGAUGUGGUCCUAACAGUUGAACAACACAAUUUUAUCGAGCGUUGCUCAAUGCAUCUUGCUCAACCAACUUUAUAAAUUAAUAAGCAUGGAGUUAGGUAGAGUGUGAUCUAAACCGACUCUACCAAGCCUAUCAAAUGUUAAGUAACUCAAGGCUCAUUACCCUAUAAAAAUAUGACCGAGUUAGUGCACAAAUUAAAUGAGCUCAAUCUCUUAGACUUUUUGUUGAUCGCUCUUCUCCAAUAUAGAUGACAAGAUAUUUGCUAUGCAAAAGUCUACACCGUCACCAAACAUGCUUGCCAGGGAGCAAUUCUUCAAAGGCAUCAAUAAUAAUCUCUCAAUAUCAAGUGAUAUUGAGAGAUUCCUAGUCAUGACUUCCCAAGACUUUUGCUACGGCAAGAAUUUUUGCUGAUGACAAGAUAUUCGCCAUGCAAAAUUAUACAACAGAUGGGCACUUAUAUUGGAUUUAUGAUCAAGGUUCUAUUCAUUGUCAUCUAGUGUAGACUUUUGCAUGGAGAAUAUCUUGUCAUCAGCAGAAAUUCUUGCCGUUGUGAAAGUCUUGGGAAGUCAUGACUAGGAAUCUCUCAAUAUCACUUGAUAUUGAGAGAUUACUAUUGACGCCUUCUGAAGAAUUGCUCCCUGUCAAGCAUUUCUGGUGACGAUGUAGACUUUUUCAUAGAAAAUAUCUUGUCAUAUAUAUUGGAGAAGAGUGAUCAGCAGAAAGGCUUAAAGAUUAAGCUUGUUUGAUUUGUGCACUAACUCGGUCAUAUUUUUUUUGAUAGGGUAAUGAGCUUGGAGUUAUGUAAUGUUUGGUAGGCUUGGUAGAGUCGGUUUAGAUCACACACUACAUAACUCCUUUCUUGUUAAUUUAUCAAAUUAGUUGAGCAAGAUGCAUUGAGCAACACUCGAUAAAGUGUGUUGUUCAAUUGUUGGGACCAUAUCUUCAAUGUACAUCAACAUAUUUUGACCUAAAACAAACACAACAACCCUCCAUGUAUCCUUUAAGGCUUCUGAAGAAAGUAUUCUAAAGGGCUUCUAGAAUGCCACAACUUUGAAGGUAGUGUUCCUGAUCGAACUCACAAGAGAAGAGGAACUCUUGACCAACUUUGAAGAAGUCAACAACUAGCUUGAAUACAGAAUCAGCAAGCUGGAGGCAAGCUUGAAAAUUAUUGGAAUUUACAUACUGCAGUAAGCAUCUGAUCUUCUCCAAGGAAUAUUGAAAGUAUGCUAAGGCAAUAAAACACAAUCAAUUAAUCUAUAUUUCUAAGGAAGUAAUGAUACUCUAUUUGCCUUCCAAUCUCAUUUGUGGUUUGGAUCAAGUCAACGGUAGUGGACCUGAUCGGAAACACAAACAAGAAUGCAUAGGAUGAAAUUUAAAAUUCAAAAAUUACUGCCUUCGCUUAGAUCCCUUAUUUUAACUGCAGUUGCUAUUGAGUAAGUUUUCUAGACUUGUUGUACAUCAUUUCAGCCCUCGAUGCCCGUGAGGCUUCUUUGUUGGUCUUCUCCUAUUUUCUAUCUAGGUGAUAAUCCCAACCACGCAGCUCCUUAGCAAAGUUUCCAUCUGCAUUAUUUUUCUUCUAGAGAGACAACAGACGAAAUUACAUUAUCGGAUACACUUUCAUAUUUGCACUUGAUUCAGAUUUUGCAUCUUUUAAGAUAAUUCCAUCGGCCAGAUUCGUUAGAAGUUACUUUCUACCCUAUGUCUCUUUUUCAAUUAGAUCUCAGAUGAUAUAGUCUUCCAUCAACCACCCAUUUUUCCCCGAAGGCAUUCUCCUACCGCACCUUCUGGUGUAUAAUCAUAAACCCGAGCGAGCAACCCAGCCAUAUAAAUUUUUGCUAGGGGAAUUUCUAUUGAUUUUCCAUUCUUGUUUGAUGCAAUGCGAUACUUUGAACGUGUUCUCAGAGUCCAGUGCACACUUAAAGUUAAGUCCAAUCGCUGUUGGUUCUCUGCAAUGACGAUAAAUAUUGAUCACUUCUCAAAACUUAACACGCAUAAACACGAGCAACAACCGCCAGUAAUUUGUAACAAAGUAUCUGCACUAUCUUCAUGAGGUCCUCAGCCUUAUCAAUUUCAAAUCCAUCAAACUUAAUGGUAUAAUGCAGGAUCUUGUUUGAAUGAUUAGUGCCUAAUCGAUUAAAAACUGCAUUCAUAAAAAUAUUAUACUUUGUGUGUGUUGUCCCGGUGACCUUAUAAGUAAUACAUACUUAAAUCCCACACAUAUGAUAGUGGAUCUAUCUGCAUGCACCUUAUUCUUCCUAGCCUAUUGUAAUACCCCAAACUUUCUUUAAGUCGAGUUUCAUCCUUAAGAAGAGUAAGGGCUGACUUUCCAAGUGAGAAAUAUUUUAAACCAUGUAAAAUUUACCAAAUAUCAAAUUUUUAUCAUGUGGAUAAUUGAAUAAGCUUUCCGUCAAUACCAUAUUCAUCAAAAUUUGAUGUCAGGGUAAAAAGUUAUAGACAUUUUACAGAAAGUUGUCUGAACUACCCAGGUGCGACGGGCAGGCCGAUGAACCGUUGAGCUAGCAACGGACCAUCUCCCAUAGUCGUCGCCAUGAGGUAGUAGUCCUAUUCACUGGCCAAGUAAAAUGGUCAGGACCGACAAACUGACAGACCACCGAGCUAGAGACGGACCGUUGCCCCAGGGCAUCGCGACGAGACAGUAAGUCCCAGUUUUGGUCCAGGUGCAAUGGUCAGUCUGACGGAUCGUCGAACCAGAAUCGUAUCGUCGUAUGUCCCAUUCAGUGAUUUUUAGUCAUUUUAGAAAGGGCUUUUUGGUCUUUUUUUCACCCUUUUUAGUAUCUAUUUAUAUCAUAUCAAGGCUCAUAACUUUAUUAUUCAUCUAUAACAUCAAAAGCUAGGGUUUCUUUAAAGAUCAAAAACCCAAGAACAAGAACAAAACCCUUCUUCAAUAAAACUCCAGAAACGAAGAAUCUCUCCAAGAACCUUCAAGAAAUAGUUUCCUAAGGUAUGUUAGAUGUUGAUUCUUGGGUUUCUUCCACCCAAAAAGUUCAAGAAUCCUUUUAAAAAUUACAAAGUUUAUGUAUUUAUGAGAUUUCAUGAUUUAUAUGUAUUGAAGUUCAUGAUUAUGUGUUGUUGAGUUUUAAUUCAUGAUUUAGAAUGCAGGUAUUAAGAAUUGAUUCUAGCAUGUGAUUAAUUGUGUGAUGUUCAUGAUAAACCCUCUUCAAGGUGCAUGUUGGUUGAUGAAAUCAUGAUACUUGGGUGUAGUAUUUGUUGUAUAACUAAAUCAUGCUCCCCACAUGUUUGACAAAAUUCUUAUGUGAAAGAAAUAGAGUCAAUAUAGCACGGUUAGCAAGAAAUCCCCAAUUAUUUAUAAGUUCAUGUAAGCCAAGUGUUUGUUGAAAAGCCUUAUUGAAUGAUUUAUGAUAUGUUGUAUGCAUUCCCAUUCAUGUGUAUUCCUUAUUAAGUGAACUUUGAGAUAUUGGUAUGCAUUUCCUAUACCAUUACAUAUUUAUGAUAUUCAAGUGAUUGGCGAGAUGUCACAUUGAUUAUGUUGUAGAUGAUAGCCUAUUGUCAUGUCAUGUAUGAGUUAUCCCGUUUUAUGAUAUUUAUGUUAUCGAGUCCUGGGGGUAUCUAAUACUUGAAAUUUAGCUGCUUGUCUAGAGCUGAGUUAGUCUCAAGAUAAUCUCAGACGUGCUAUGCUCAGUAGAAUUCAGACAUUUACAGAACUUAAGGAAAUUCAGUGAUCUCAGUAUAAGUGCAAUCCAUUCUUAGUAUCAGUCUAAUCUGACUUAGUAUUUAGUUCUAACUAAACAGUAUUCAAAAGUAAUCAGUAUUCAGUAGUAUUCAGUAUUCAUCUCAGACUUCAGUGAGUCUCAGUAGGCUAACAAGAAUUCAAUAGCAUUUAGGAAUAUAGUAGAAUCCAAGUGACAUUCCGUCAGUUAAUGAAACCAAGUGAACUCAGUCAGAUCAGUCAAGAAAUAUGAAUAGUAACAAAUUCAGCUCAGUCUAAGUUCAGUUAAGAAUCAGUUUAAAGUCCUUUAGUUGGGAGUAUGAACUAGCACCGAGCGAGUACAGGGAUAACGGCUUCCCCGUUAGAGAGGUAGAGUCAUUAGUAAUAGUCCCUGAUCUUCAGAACUGUAUAGCCAGUGCAGGAGCAGGAGUCACCCAUUAGAUUAAGGCUUGACUAUCAUACUGCCUUAGGCUUGACUUCCUGUUCAGGGUCACCCGUUAGAGAGGCUUGACCAUAGUAUAGGUCUUUACCCGUGGCACGAUAUUGAUACUUUUCCAGCUGGGGUUACAGGUUGGACCCCACUAAUUUAGAUUUGGGUCAUAUCGGUUAAGUGAGAAAUCCUACAGUUGCAGUUUCAGUAUCAGUCUUCAGAGUAGUAAUCAGAAAUUAAGACUGUCAGAUAUAGUCACCCUCUCAGUAAGGAACUUAGAUAGUUCUAUAGAUUCAUGAACCACCUAUUAGAUAGGUCUGGUCUCACAUAAAAUUAAUCAGUAUCAGUACUAAUAGAUCCAGAGAUCACCCAUUAUAUAGGACUGAUCUCAAACUUAGUCCAUUAUUUCUAAUAUUAAAAGAUUUAGAGAUCAACCGUUAGAGAGGCUUGAUCUCCGAUUUAAUUAGUCGAUAGUAGCAAGCUCAAAACUCAGUUAUUAAUAUGAGUAGAUUCAGUUAUUCAGUAUUUUAGAGAUAGUAAACUCAAAUAUCAAUAUUAGUAGACCCAGAUAGUAAACUCAAAUAUCAGUAUUAGUAGACCCAGUCAUCAGUAAGUCAGUAUUCAGAGUUUGUAUUCAGUGUUACUGCAAUUCCAAUUUUGGUUUGUGCGUUUAUGCAUAUAUCCCCAUUCAGUAUUCUCAUGAUAUUCAGUUAAGUGAUAUUCAUGUACAAGCCCUUGUAUUCAGCCUUACCUCAUCUAGCAUACCAGUACAAUAAAAGUAUUGAUGUAUACCUUCUUACGCGAUGGUGUCUUAUACCAUAGGUUCAGAUGUACGGGAUCUAGAGCACCCAUAGCAUUCCAGACUUAGUUAGCAGUAGUAGAUAUAGCAGUGAGUCCUCUUCAUUCGAGGAUGAUCCAUAUUUUCUUAUCGCAUUAGAUUAGAUUUAUUUUCAGUAUAUGGAGUGUAACACCCCAUAUUUUUGGGCUAGAGUUUAGACCAUCGUUUCUAUGUAUAUAGACCUGAACUGAAUUAUUCUUGUAAUGCCCCGCAUUUUGGGCUACAAUAUAGACCAUGAUUUCGAUACAUUGAUAAUCCUGAACCCAUAAAUCCUAUGCUAAUAUGGCAUGUUAAUUAUUUGCAUAGUAUUUGAAUCCAUUCAAGCUUGAAUUUAGACCACAGAGGUCCUUCAACUCAAGGACGAGUUGAAACUAUUUUGAUCUAUUAAGUUUUAGUGGAUGUUGUAAUUUGUGUCAGCUUCUAUCGACCAUAAAUUUCUGUCUAUGUCAAAUUAGAGAGCCUACUAUGUAUCAAAUGAUAGGUCUUCGAGUUAGCUUUCCAAUGAUACCAAUUUUUCUAAAAUCUGGCACCCGAGCAAGAAGUUAUGGCCUUUCAAAGUACUAGGCGGCGCCUAUGUAAACAUAGGCGAUAGCAUAGGCGCCGCGGCGCCUAUGUAAACAUAGAGAUAGCAUAGCCAGCGCCUAUGUAAAGGUUUCAAGUGACUUAAACACUCAGUUUUUGGGGCAAAAUGGUCCUUUUCCACCCUUACUUAGCCCUAAACACAAAAUUCAGUUCCCAAAGACCCCAAAAUACACCUUCAUUCAUCAAAAUUGUUCAAGAACUCUCUAGGGUUUCAAAUAAAAACCCAAGCAAUUCAAGAUUCAACCAUGGGUUUUAGAAACUAAUUGUAUAUUUGGAAUCCUCUCAACAUAGGCUUUAAGAAACACCUAAUAGUUGUAGUAAUCGAGGUACGUGGGGUUAUCUCAAAAAACUCAUGGGCUUUAAAAAUUUAUGUUUUCAAAUGGGGGUUUUGAAAUACGAAUAUGAUUAUGUUUUAAACGUUUUAAGAUAUUGAUUUGGUCCUUAGGCCUACUCCCAAAAUGAUUUGCUAUAUAAUAUAUGUAUAUGCAUGUAUUCCAAAAAGAUGUUAACUUUAGAGCAUAAAUGAUAUAACAUUUCCUCUCUUGAUAUGAAUUUGUUUUAAAUGUUCAUAUGAUGUAAAUUAUUUGAAAAUAUCUUGAAGAGCAUGACAUGAAAUGUUUUUGAGAAUUGAUAUGAUUUUAACUUGAAAACGAGAAGGUUAUUCAUGUUGAAUACAAUGGUUGAAUGAGAAGAAUGAUGUGAUAUUAAUGGCUUGCAAGUUGGGUAUGACGAUACCCUGCAGAGUAUGACAUGUUAUUGUUUUGAACGAAGUUUAAGUGCAUUGAUUUUCAUAAGAAAGGUGGAUACUCGAAGAAGGCGUUUGAGUGAAAGGGCUCAUCGCUGGAAACUGUAGUUGCCGAUGCAGGUUAUAUGAUAUUGUAUCCUACAUGGGAGGAUUAAUAAAAUUAUUUGGGGGAUCUUACAUGGGGGGAUUCCAGCGGUGUGCUCACAUGGGGGGUAUCACUGGCUCCAAAUCCUGGCGGCUACUUGGAUUGAAGGCUCGGUCGUUGAGCUAAAAGGCGGAUUCCACAUAGCCGUGGAAUUACAAAUUGUAGGGUAUUCCACCUAGCUCAAAUACAUUGCAUUGUUGUUGAAAAAUCAUUACAUUAUGCCCAUGUGUUUUUCAAAUGAUUUAAUAUAAAACUGCUCUUAUAAUGGUUCUCACCUAUAUUUGGUAAAAAUAUUAUAUUUCUGUUUUGAUUUCUCUGCGUACCAGUACUUUUGUAUUGACCCCCCUUCCUCCCAGGUUCGAAGGCGCAGUCUAGGGGUCUAGAAAAUCAGUAGAUUUCUCAGACAGAGUUUUAGAGUCACUUGGUGAGCCUUCUAUAUUUCGGAAGGCCUGAUAUCUGGUAGUUUUAUUUAUCAUUUAUUAGUUUUGGAUCUACUGCGAGCCUUCUCCCAGUUUUCAGAUAGACAUUUGUUUCAGUCAUGUAGUAGAGAUAUUCGCAGACAUUAUCGAGAUGUUGUUUGAGAUUGAGGGACAUUAUCCCCCAUUAUUGCUUUUAUAUGAUUCUAGACCAUGUUUCUGUAAUAUUAUUUAUCUUCCGCAUUUCUUUUUCAUAUGAAUUAUGUGCAUGAUUACCACACAGAUAGGGGUGUUUCGGACCAUCAUGGUUCGGGAUACUCAUCACGGCCAGGGCACGGGUUCGGGUCGUGACAUGGAGUUAGUUGGGGAUAUGUCCCAUCAACUCCACAGUUCAGACAGUUUUGAGGCUUUUCAGAUAAAUGUAUCAGUAUUCAAUUUUUAGUUUUGAGUAUUGAUAUUUUGAACCUUUUGGCAAGUUUCUGCCAGUUUUCUGCAUUUAUUUCUGUAUAUUAUGCAGUGCUCAGUUACAGGUACCAGCACAGGGUUAUCUUGUGGUCCUUCGGGAUCAAGAGCAUUGUGCGGCAUUUCGGUUCCAGAAAAUCAGGGCGUUACACCCAUCUAUGGCUUAAAUUGAUAAACAGAUGACUAGCUAGUUGCAACAGAUGCCACAUCUGUUUAUAUUGUCAAAUAAUUGGAGACAUCUGUUACGACAAAUGAUCAAACUAUUGCAACAUAUGACGUAUCUGUUGCAAAAGAUUGCCAGUAUAUUGUAAGUUAUCUAACAGAAGGAAUAUAUUUUGCAACAGAUUACCCAUCUGUUAGGUUUAUUUUAAAGAAAUUUUCUCUUCUUUUCGAGAUACAAUAAUUUAUAAAUAGGUUCCUCCUUACAAAUACGGAUGAUCUAAAUUCGUACAAGAAUAUUCAUAUCGAUUCCUUGUGUGAACUUCAAAGGCAGUUUGAUGAACUCCAGAGAGAUUUGGCUGACUUCGGAGCAACGCUGGGGAGCAAGGCUACCGGAUGAAAAAUGUCUGAUUGACAAUAAUAAUAAUAUUAGUAAUAAUAAUUAGGUAAUAUUUUUUAUUUUAGCAUAUGUAUUUUCCUCCUUUUGUAUAUCGGAUCUACCCAAGGGAUUUAAAAAUCUAUACAUUUAUUUGGUGGUCGACUUUGAAUUUUUAAUUCUUAUUUAGUAUUUAAUAAUCAUUCUGUUUAUUCCUUGUUCUCAACAUGUCGAUAGUUGGUGGUAAGGAUUGAGCAAUUUGUGUCAACAGAGGUUAAUCUGAUGUGAUAGAUCGAUCAUAUAUUGCAUCAGAUAGUUAUUAAUAAAAAAAGAGUUAUUAUUGUUAUUGAGAGGGUGAAAAGACAUGACUUUCUGAUUAUUUAAUAUGAAAAAUAUUUCAUAAAUAAAUAAUAAGUAAAUAAAUGAUAAACACAAUUUAUAACUGUAAAAGAACGAUUAUUUAAUUUUAAUAACUGAUCGUGACUUUUCACCAUUUUUGUUUUUGAAUUUUUUUUAAAAAUUAUUUAUUAUAUAAUAAAAAAGUCAAAAUAUUGGAUUAAUUAACUUAUAUGAUGAUUGUUAAGAAAAACAAGGUGAAGGUCAUGACUUUUUGUCUAAAACAAAAACACAUACAUUCAACAGUGUUGCUGAUGCAUCAAAUUCUCCAUCUGUUUCGACUGAUGUAUCAGCUAUUAGAAGAAAUAAAAAAAAGAUGUUAACAUAGAACGUCUAUUUGUUGCUACAGAUGGUAUAUCUGUUGCAAUUGAUGGUUUAUCAGAUUCAACAGAUGUACAAUCUUUUACCAGAAAAUAAAAAUGGUUAUUAUUUCAUUAAAAAUUUUGAAAAGGUGUUUUUUUAAAAUUUAUAAAAUAAAAAAGUCAGCAAAUUUGGAUUAAUGAUAUGAUGAUAGUUUUUUUUUAGAAAAAAAGUAGAUUAUAUUUUGCAACAAAUAUAUUAUCUGAUGCAACAGAUUCACUAUUGUUGCAACAGGUGAUAUAUCUGUUGUCACAGAUAAUUUGUCUGAUGCAACCGAUAUAGAAUCUGUUGUCACAACUAAAUAAAAACAGUUCUUGGAAAGAACUAAUUAAUAAUAAUAAUCUGAAAAGCCAUGACUUAUCAAAAUAUUUCUUAAUUUAAUUAAGUCAUUACUUUUCACAGUAAUAAAAAAUAUAAUUAAUAAAUGGAGGUGAACAGUUAGAUUAUAUGUUGCAAUAGAUAGGUUAUCGGAUGCAACAAAUUAUAUAUUUGUUGCAACAGAUGAUAUAUCUGUUGUCACAAAUGUAUUAUCUGAUGUAACAAAUAUAGAAUCUGUUGCCACAGCUCAAUAAAAAUGCUUCUUGGAAAGAACUAAUUAAUAAUAAUAAUCUGAAAAGUCAUGACUUAUCACAAUAUUUAUUUUCUUAAUUUAAUCAAAAAUAUAAUUAAUGAAUGGAGGUGAAUAGUUGCGCCUUUUCGCCUCUCAUUCAAAUUCAAUCUUCUAUAAAUAGGUCUCUUCUUACUCAAUCGUUCAUUCAACUAUACUCUAUUUAUUUGUUGUAUCCCGUCUUUCAUAUUACACUCUAGAAGAUUAUCGCUGACCCAAUGUGGGACAUUGCUUUUCUACAAGACGCCGUGAAUGAACUUCAAAAUCAAGUUCGUGACCUGCAAUGGGAACUGGGAGGAGUUAGAACAAGAAUGCUUCGCGAGAUAUGUAGGUUGAGGAGGGCCUUGCUACUUCCAGUUGAAGAUUGGCCGGCUGGCAAUGAUGAUGAUAAUAAUAAUAACAAUAAUAAUAAUAAUAAUAAUAAUAAUAAUUAGAUUAUCAUUUUUCUUUUAGUCUAUUAUAUGUAUUUUUAUUCAUUUUUAUUUAAUAAAAAAUUAUGUUUGAUCUUUGACGUUUUAAUCCAUAUUUAAUUUUUAUUCUGUCUAUUAUGUUUUCGACAAACAUUUCGACGAUUCGUCGUAAAAAGAAAUAAUUUAAAAUCCAGUAGCAAUAGAAAGAUUUAUCUAUUGGGUUUGUGGCAGGGGUUGAUGUAUUGUUCAAAAAAGAUUACUUAUAUGUUGCAAUAGAUAAGAAGUCUGAUACAAUAGAUAAAUAGUCUAUUUCAACAGAUGACUAGUUUGUUGCUUAGUUCUGACGUUUUAAUUCAUACUCCCUCCGUCUCAAAUUAUCCAUCCCUAAUUGAGAUGCCACAUUGAUUAAGAAAAAUAAUUAAUAAUAUGUCUAGUUUACCAUAACCCACUGAUCAGUUGGUGGGACAAUAUACGUGUUUGAAAUAACCAUUUUUUUUAUUCAAUCCUAAUUUCAUAAGAGAAGAAAGCUUUUAAUGUCAGUUGGCAGAUAGUCCCCUUAUUAAAUGAUAUUUCUAUUUUAAUUUGAAGAAAAGGUGAUUAAUGCAAAGGAUAAAAUAUGGAUUUUUUUUAUCAUUUCUUGAUUAAUGAAAAAGACAAGUAAAAUGAGAAAUCGAAUUAGAAAAUUUGGGAUGGGUAAUUGGACGUAAGGAAUAAUAUUGAAUCUAGUAGAAAUAGAAAGAGUUGAAAUAUAUUGGUUAUCUGUUGGGUUUGUGGCAGGGGCUGAUUUGUUUUGUUCCAAACAGAUUAAUCAUUCGAUGCAAUAGAUAAACAUUCUGAUACAAUAGAUAAUACGUCUGAUGCAACAGAUAAACAAUCUGAUGCAACAGAUAAACAGUCUGAUGUAAUAGAUAAAUCUUCUGAUGCAACAGACUACUCAUCUGAUGCACCAGGUGAUUGAUCUAUUUAAAUUAUGGACACUUAUAUUGGAUUCAUGAUCGGGGUUCUAUCCAUUGUUGGAAAAACAAAAGUAUACCCAUAUGACAAAUACGAAUAAAAAUUAUAAUUUUACUUACCAAAGUCACCUAUGAAGUAAUGUCAAAGUGGAAAGUGAUGUUGUAAACAAAAUUUGACCUAAAAAAUUGGCCAGAUAGAAGCAAUAGCGUUAUGCCAACAAUAAUAACAACAACAAAUAGUCGACAAGAAAAAAAUAAAGACAAUAAUGAAGUAGAAGAUGUGAUAAUGAAGCAGAAUAUGAUGAAUAAAGCAGUAGAAACAAUGAACAACAAAAAUCAGUAAGAGAGAGAAAACAACAAGGGAUGAGACGAGAGAGAAGGCACCUUUUUCCCCUCCGUUUCUUGUUAUUUUAGGUAAAUAUUGGGAUCAAAGUGUAAAUUUAAAAACUUGUGAGUUAUUUUCAAACUUUUCCAACUUUUUUAAUCCAUAAUAAAGUAAUUAUCACCUCCAACUAAUAAUUAAGACUUGUGUCACCUACACCUCAUUUUAAAACUCUUUUGUCACCUGUGACCCAAAGCCCCUAGUGUCUUGGAAAAGAACGGGAGUGAGCAAAAGAUUUUUUUUGGAUCGAGUAAAAUGCCUAUUCUACCCUUGAUCAUCUUAUGGUCACUCUUAUAUAUAGUAGAAAUGAAUGUACUCUCGAUCACCCUAUAUGAAAAGAACCCCAAAAAGGCAAGGACAAAAAAAAAUAAAGAAAACAAUGAAUAAUGAUUGAGAAAAAAUUGAGAUAUGAACAAACCUUCAAUUGUAAUCUGCUGUAAAGAUAAAGAGAACAAAAAUAGUUCACUGACGGUGAGUAAAAUUGAAAAAACACUGUGAAACUUUGAGAUUAUGCCAGAGAGAUGGUGAUAUAGAUGUUUCUAGAUAUACGUAGUGUCUUGGAAAAGAAUGGGAGUGAGCAACAGAUUUUUUUUUGGACUGGGUAAAAUGUCUAUUCUACCCUUGGUCGUCCUAUGGUCACUCUUCUAUAUAGUAGAAUAUAGUAGAAACUAGACUAGAUAAUGAAGGGCCAUUUUACGGGCCCAAUAUUAAUAUUUUAGAUAUGUUUAUAGGUAUUUAAUUAGUUUUUUAAAUGACCAUCAAUAUUUUCAAAUUAGCACAAUCGAAAAUGAUAAUAAAGAUACACGUUAUAAUAAAGUGUCAAUUAUAUUAAUAUUUUUUUAAUAGAAUCAUACAAAAUAACCAAAAAAAUAAAAAAUAAUCCAUCUAUAAAUUUAUUUUAAAUGCACUGAAAUUCAUUUUGUUGGGGUUUAGUGAAUGAAAUUCAACCUAUUUGAUAGAAGUUAAAAUUAAUCAUAUCAUUCUUUACAAAGUGAUAAAAAAAAAGUUAUGGUUUGACAUCUUAUUUCAUAUACUAUAAAAUCAAGAUAAUAAUUUAGUAUAUAUAUUUUUUUUUUAAAAAAAAGUGAUUUGUAUACCUGAUGAGAGAAUAUACUGCUUCAAAAUAUUUUUUUUUUUUUGAAGAUUGUAAAUGUGUUGUAAAAAUAUAUAUGAAGUUAAGUGUACACAUUAUAACGUCUUAAUAUAAUAUGAACAAACGUACCAAUUAAAUAAAAUAAAUUAUAGUUUUAGAAUUAUCUUUAGUAUAUAUAGUUUUAAAAUUAAAUGAAUAUUUUUUCAUCAUUUAUCAGUAUCUUUUUUUAUUAUUUUAUUAUUAAUAUAGUACUCCAUCCAUUUUGAUCCAUUUAAAAGGAGAAUGUCUCUUUAUUUUUUAUAAUUUUUUAAUCAAUUCUGCAAAAUUAAAAAGCAUUUUGAUACAUUAUACAUAUCUUUAGCCUAUUAAUAUAACAUUCAACUUUUUUAAUUUGUUAAUUCAAUAUCUAAUCAAAAUCAGACAAAUAAAUAACACUUACUAAUUAAACUCUUUUCUCUAAGUAUGAACUAAACGUGUCAAUUAUUUCCAUAUCAGUUCAAUCCCAUUAUAAUUUAUUAUUUCAUUGCAAAGUAAUCUCAAGUCAUAGUUUAAAACGUUACUCAUCAAAAAUCUUAUUUUAUAUAAUGGACUAAAUUUUAAAUAAGAAAUUCAACUUUGGUAUGACAUAAUAUCUGUGAUGGUUUAUAAAUUAAUUUCAAUGAAUUUUAUAAGUUUGUUAUAAUUAUUAGAAGUUUAUGACAAUAUCCUUUGGCUAAAACAUAAUUUUUGAAGCUUUGAAUUUUUAAAAUACAUAUAUACAUAUUCAGAAGCACAAUUUUACAUCUACAUGUUUUGUAUUUUUUUCUUUAGAAAUGCACCAUUCUGUUAAUAUUCUAUCUAUUUCAGUUUGUUUGGUCUAUUUUAAUUUGGUACGAAAUUUAAAAGAGUAAAAUAUUUUGUUUGAAUAUUGUGAUAUUAAUUAAAUAAAAGAUAUGUCAAAUAUAUCAAAAUAUUUUUUAAUUUUAUAAUCUUGAAUAUGACACGUGGAAAGUUAAAAUUACAGAUGUUGCUAAAAAAUGAAAAAGAUUUUUUUUAUUUAAAAAAGAAAUAAAUCAAACAAAUUGAACUGAAGAAAGUAAUAAAUAAUGACAAACAAAACUUCCACAAAAAAUAAAAAAAUAAAACAAGAAAAAAAAAAUAGAACAUGAAAGAAAAUUGAUGAUAAUUGAACAUUUUGAUUUUUUUUACAAUAAACACUAGAUUUGAAUAAAUUCGUGUAGGAAUAAAGAAAAUGGGCCCUAGUAUUACAUGUGGUUGAAGAUAAUUAGUGAUGGAAUAAGACAAGGUAAAAUACAUAGUACAAUUUGUAUUGCAUAUUGUACAAUUUUUCAUAGCCAUGGCCGUCCUUCCUUGGCUUUUCUAUAUAAUAAUCAAAAUAUAAUAAAAUAAAAUAUAAUAAAAAACUAUUAAUAUAGUACUCCAUCCAUUUUGAUCCAUUUAGGAGAAUGUCUCUUUAUUUUUGAUAAUUUUUUAAACAAUUCUGCAAAACUAAAGAGUAUUUUGAUACAUUAUACAUAUCUUCAGCCUAUUAGUAUAAGAUUCAAAAAUCUUUUUAUAAUUUAUUAAAAUUCAAUAUCAAAUAAAAAUCAGACAAAUAAAUAACACUAACUAAUUAAACUCUUUUCUCUAAGUAUGAACUAAAGGUGUUAAUUGUUUCCAUAUCUGUUCAAUCCCAUUAAAAUUUAUUAUUUCAUUGCAAUAUCUUAAUUAAAAGUAAUCUCAAGUCAUAGUUUAAAACUUUACUCAUCAAUAAUCUUAUAUUAUGUAAUGAACUAAAAUUUUAAAUAAGGAAUUCAACUUUGGUAUGACAUAAUAUCUGUAAUGGUUUACAAAUUAAUUUCAAUGAAUUUUAUAAGUUUGUUAUAAUUUUUAGAAGUUUAUGAAAAUAACCUUUGGCUAAAACAUAAUUUUAGAAGCUUUGAAUUUUGAAAAUACACAUAUACAUAUUCAGAAGCACAAUUUAACAUCUCCAAGUUUUGUAUUUUUUUCUUAGAAAUGCACCAUUCUGUUAAUACUUUAUCUCUUCCAGUUUGUUUGGUCUAUUUUAAUUUGGUACAAAAUUUAAGAAAUUAAAAUAUUUUUUUGAAUAUUGUGAUAUUAAUUAAAUAAAAGAUAUGUAAAGUAUAUCAAAAUAUUCUUUAAUUUUAUAAUCUUAAAUGUGACAUGUGGAAAGUUAAAAUUACAGAUGUUGCUAAAAAAUGAAAAAAAAUUUUUUAUUUAAAAAAGAAAUAAAUCAAACAAAUUGAACCGAAGAAAGUACUAAAUAAUGAAAAACAAAGCUUCCACAAAAAAUAAAAAUAUAAAAAUGUGAAAAAUAGAACAUGAAAGAAAAUUGAUGAUAAUUGAGCAUUUUGAUUUUUUUACAAUAAACACUAGAUUUGAAUAAAUUUGUGUAGGAAUAAAGAGAAUGGGCCCAAGUAUUGCAUGUGGUUGAAGAUAAUUGGUGAUGGAACAAGACAAGAUAAAAUACAUAGUACUAUUUGUAUUGCAUAUUGUACAAUUUUUCAAAGCCAUGGUCGUCCUUCCUUGGAUUUUCUAUAUAAUAAAUAUAAAAUAAUAAAUAUAUUUAAUAAUAAAUAAAAUAUAAUAUAAAUAGUUUCAUUAGUCCCGUGCUAAGCCUGGUCCCAAAUUCAAAGUAUAAAAAUAAUAAUUUAUAUCAUAUGUUUUUCUAUUUUAUAAUUAGUAUAUCUAAUGAUCUGUUUAAUAAGUCUUGUUGAUGAGUUUUUAUAAUUAUUAGAUUUUGUAAUCACAUAAUUGGGUAAUUUAAAAAAAAAAUAUGAUGAGGAAGAAGAUAUUAUUUGAGAAUUAGAAUAUAUCAAAAAACUACAAGUGAUUCGGUAUUUUAUAGAAUGACAUAAAUUUAAAAUAUUUAAUAAUCACGCUUCGAUGAAGAUCAUAAAUAGAAAAAAAUAUUGAUAUUCUUAUAAAGUUUGCAAGUAAUUUUUUUUUAGUUAUAGAUAAAAAUAAAUUUAUUUCGAUAUUUAUUGAGUUUUAGUUUCCCUCAAAAUUUUAGUGGCAAUUUUUUUUCUAAUUACAUUUUUUCAUCUUAUAGAAUCAUCUGAAAAAAGUCAAUGCUUUCAAAUUUAUAUUAUAAUAAUUAUAACCUCAAUUAAGAGCCUUCAUAUAAAUUAACUUAAUAAGAAUAUAUAAGGAUAAUAAAUGAUAAUUAAACUACAUUAAUAGCUUGCUCCAUUCGGUCUAUUUACUUAUUAUAUUUAUUUUUUACACACCCCUUACAAUAGUAACCUAUUCGUCCCAUUUUAGUUAUUGUUUUGUACUUUUUCAUGUCCAUUACGAGAAACAAUAAAUACAAGAUAUUAUUUACUACACUAUAAUAUAAAAAAAAAUAACUAUUAGGUUGUAGUUGAAAUCAUCGAAAACUUUAAUUUUGCAGGAAAAGUUAGCUUGAAUAUUGUUGAUUUAAAAUAAAAGAAAUUUUAGUUAAAUAGUAAUCUAACAUGUGGCAAGAAGAAAGCAAUUAUAAAAGCCCCAGUGGAAUAAUCUUAACAAAAAGUAUAAAGGCGAAAAUGGAAAUAUGUAAAAAAAAAAUAUCAUUAAUUAUCAUGUGUAAUAAUUUCAUUUCACCAAAAAAUUAAAAUAUCAAAAAAGCCCUUGCGAGGACAACCAAAAUUUCAAGAUCAUCUAUGCUUUAGUGGUAAAAGAAGAUUGUCUUCAAAAAUUGUUCAAAUUUUAUCAUUUUAUUUUUCAAAAAAUAAAUUGACUUAUUUUUGAGCUAAACUGUAUUAGUUCAAUAAAAUUAGAAAUUAGAUAUUCAAAACUAUAUGGAAAAUAAAUAUCAUAAAUUGCAAUGAUUAUAUUAACAUAAUAAUAUUUUUUUCUUAAAAAAAUUGAUUAAAGUUCAUAUAAUUUGAUCCUCAAAAGUGAAAUGUAACAAAUAUUUAAAAAUGAUGAAGAAAAUAAUUUAAUAAAACCAAAAAGAAAUUCAACCAGUUACAAAGGUUCAUGUGGAAAAUCUUAAAAGGAGAAUUUGGACAAAGAAAUACCACAUGUAAGACUUUCAUAUCAUGAAUUUUAAUAUGAGGACUACCAAAACUUUUAUUCUUCCUUAUAUAUAGUAAAUAAUAAUAUAUUGAUCAUGUUCUAAAUGAAAUAAAUGACUAGGAUAAGAAAAUUAAUUUAUUAAUAAUAAAUAAAACUUUAAUAUCUAUUUAUACUAGCGAAAAUAAUAAAUAAAAAUAACUUUAUAAACAUAUUCCAAUGCAUGUAAUAUAAUAAUGUAUAGUAAAAACGAAGAUAUAUUCUAUAAUAAAUUAUGACGACCCAAAAAAAAGGAUCAUGAUGACACUUGUUGCGGAAAACCUUGACAAGUAAGUCUCUCACCCAAAUGGGUAUACACAGGGAAAAGAUAGAAAUGCCCCCAAGGUAAUGCUUCUAGAAUGAAGUCUAACUACAUAAAUAUAAUAAAAGCGGAAAGAAUAAAAUCAACAAAUGCAAUCAUAACUCCCAAAACCUGGUGUUAAAGUAUAAGAACUACUAAUACAAUUUCGGAGUCAAAUACAUUAGAAAAAUAACCACAAAGAAAAAUAUUUAUCUUCGAACACUAAUAAAGACAUAACUAAUACAGAAAGAUAGAGGUGAACUCCAGACGCAUGAACGUCCAACUGCUACCUUGAGAAAUUUGAAGGUACUUGAAAUCAACCCAUCUGAGACACACUCGAGCUAGAACCUGCAUCAAAAGAGCGCUUAGGUGUGAGUACGGCCCACUUGUACUCAGUAGGUAUCACAGCCGACCAAGAAAAGUUGUAAAUAAAGUAUACAAAAUAUACACUAAGGGCACGUUGUAUGUAAUCAGAAAAUGUCCCACAACGGUAUCCCACACCGCUUGCACUAAUAGUUCUACAAUAUCCGCAUAUAAUACACAACACACAAGAUAGGGAUACAAAUAUACACAAUAUCACAUACAAGUAGGACAAAAGAGGGACAUGUAUAGUCAAGGUCAUCAAGUAUAGUUAAAGGAAAUAGAACAAUUAGACAUUAAAAAGUCAAGAUAUAGAACAAAUAGGUAGAUAACAAGUCAAUAUGUCAAUUCAAACACAACAUAAACACAAUAAAGCGGGUGCAAUGUAUAUGAUAAUGAUGAUGAUGAUGAUGAUGAUGCAUGGGAUUUCCACACAACCUUGAGUUUGGCAUACAGCCUCAUGAUCACUAAUAGCCAUAACUUUUCUUUGACAUGAUCAUUCAGAGAUGGUCCAUAAAACCAAUAUCCGAUACCAAUAUCUAAUAUUCCAGUGUUUUCAGUAUUUUCAAAGCACAUACAUAACAUAAUACACAAAUUAAAUACACAUACAUCACAACAAGUAUAUGUAAAUCAAUAAAACAAACUAGUGAAAUGAGGCGUAUGAUGACAUGAGAAUGAUGAUGAAAUGUUCACAACUAUUCAAAAUGAGUAUUUCUACAACCAAUUCACAUAAUGUAUUUUCAUAGCCAACCAUAAUGUUACAAUUCCACAACUACGUGAGCCAAUAUCCACUCAUUACUUCCAUUUUUGUAAGACCCUGUAAUGUCCUAGCCCAUUUCAGCCCUUUAUAGAAUGCCAAAAGAGGUCCCAAACUUAGAAAAUUUCAGCGAAGUGUUAAGACUUAGUCUCAAUUUUGACCUUGAUAUUUUAAUGGUCUCAUUUUUAUUUUUUUGGCCUUAGAUUGUCGAUUUUUGUAAAUUAAUUCAUGAUCAAGGUUAUUUAUAGGUCAUCUAAGGUAAGUUUCAUAAUUUUCAAACAUCAUUUGAGACACAUUUGGAUGACCAAAACAGCAAGCCAAUGCGAUCAAGAUGUGUCAUGUUGGCUAUUUGUCAUCACCAUCGACGCGGUGCAUCAAUAAUUGCAUCGACACCAUCGAUGCAGUGCAUUGCCUGUUGUGUCACUGGGCACUUUUGCUUACUAAAUUACAGGUUUGUGGGGGAAAAAGAGUCAUUUUUCACCCAUCUUAACCAACCUAUAUCACAAAAUUAAGGGUCCAAAAGGGCAAAUAUACUCAUCAUUUCACAAAUUCUCUCAAGAAUAAAGCCCUAGUUUCUUUAAGUUCAAGUCAAAGUUUCAAGAAUUCACCAACAAUUCUCAUGAAUUCAAAAAUCAAGGUAUGUUUAGGUAUUCAUCCUUGGCUUCCUUCAACCCUUGGAGUUCAAGAAUCUUUUUUCAAGUACUUAGAUUUUAUUUACAUCCUUGAAUGGAACUAUGUUUAUGUAUGUGAUGUUGUGUGGAUUUCAAGUCAAGAAUAAUUUGAGUUUCAUGUGAAUCAACUAGAAUGCAUGUUGAUAUAUGUAACCCCCAUGUUUAAUCUUUGAAUUUUGGUGUUGAAUGUGGUAGACAUGAUAUUCAAAUAUUUAUCAUCCUCAUGUACAAGAUUUAUGUAUCCUAGGUGUUUAACAAAAUGUCUAUGUGAAACAAUUAUGCAUGAUGACCUGUGUGUGAUGCUUUUAGAGUUGAGAUAUGAUUUCAUUAUCUAUGCUAUCGAGUCCUGUGGGUAUUGAAUACCCAAUAUUUAGCUAUUAUCUAGUAUCCAGUUAAAUUAGAAGGAUUCCAUAGUAUCCUAAACAGUAGCACACAGCCAGUCAACAGAAUCAGUGUGCGUUUAUUCAAGCCUAGUACAAUCUAGUGAUCAGUUUAGUGUCGAUUUAGUUGGGAGUAGGAUUCAGUAUCGAGCGAACCCAGGCUGGUGUCAUUCCUGUCAGUAGAGGUUUUGACCCUUAGUAGCAGUCCCUACAUUACAGAACUACGUAGCCAGCGUAGGGUAAAUCAUCUUCCCGCCAGACUAGAGUUGAUGUAACAAUAUGCAUCUCAUGAUUCUUCCUGCCAGAUUAGGGUCGGCCCAGAUCCUGUUAGUAAUAUGUGGCACUGUGCUAAUGCUCUUCCAACUGGGGUUAUAGGUUAGACCCCAUAUCAGUCUAUAAUUAGGGUAUAUCAGCUAGAUAAUAACUCCUACAGUUACAGUUUUAGUAUUCAGUAUUCAGUAAAUCUGUAUCUAGUAUUCAAUAUUCAGUACAAAACUCAGUGCAUUUCUACACAAUCAUGACUUACAAUUAUCAGUUACUCAAUUAUUAGAAACUUAGUACUUCAGCUUCAAACUAAUUCAGACAUAUGAUAUAUGCUUAGUAUUACGUGUUCAGCACUUAUAGUAGUCCCAAUCUUGCAUAUCCUCUCAUCCAGUUAUUCCAUGAUAUUUAGUUAUUAUUCUCAUACAUAUGAACCCAUGCAUAUCAGCCCAACCUUACCUAGGAUACCAGUACAUUCAAAGUACUGACGCAUACUCUUUAUUUACGCUACGAUGCCUCAUAUAAUAGGUUCAAAUGCUCGGGUUCCUGACCAUACCUAGCCAAAUUAGUCUAUCAGCCAAAGCUACAGUAGUGAGUCCUCAUCCAUUAAGGAUGUGACACCCAUUUAGUUAUUUUAUUAUUUAUAAUAUUCAAGCUUUUCAGUUACUUCCAGACAACAGUUGUGAGUUAAUUGGGGCCUGUCCCAUAAAAUCUUUUAUUUCAGUUGUUUAGAGGCUUUCAGACACUAAUAGUUAGUAGUUAUUCUGCAGAUGUACUCAGUAUUGAAUUACUUUUAUGAACCUUAUGGCAUUUUCAAUUUUACUUCCGUAUUGUUUCAUGAUUAUUAAUUGGUUCUCACAGCAGGUACCAUUCAUGGGUUAACUUAUGGUCCUAUAGGGUCAUAAGCAUCGUGUAAUGGCCAGGGUAUCAUCUCUGGGCAUUACAAACUUGGUAUUAGAGCCUAAGGUUCUAAAGAGUCCUAGGGAGUCUGAAACCUGCGUCAAGUAGGGUCUUGUGCAUGGGUGUGCAGUGUGCCACACUUAUGGACAAGAGUCUAUGAGAUAUUUUUAGGAAAGUUCUCUUCUUUUAGUGUUCAUAUUGUGCGAGUGAGCAUGUUCUCAAGUAAAAUCUCUGUCUAAUUCCAAUCUUCCUUCCAUUUAUAAAAUAUGCCUCCUAGAAAGACUAAUGGAAAAAGAAAUGAGAAUAAACUCGCACCUCCGCUAGUACAGGAAGAUCACCUGAAUAAGCAUGUCUAUCACGCCGAAUUUAGAGCUGAUUUCACUACCUUAGCUUAUUUAGUAGUUUCUCAAAACAAUCUGCCAGCUGUUGUCCUAUAUACGCUUUUGAUUUAUGCUCAGUCGAGCGAGAGGGAGGAGCGUAGGAAGAAAGAGAGAAAGAAUAAAAGGGUCAGAACAAGUAGUUUUAAGCCUAGGUCAAGGGGUAGUAACCGCUCCCAAUAUCAUUAGAAAUUCUCAGUCCCAGCUUUGGCUUCAGCCAGUGCGCCAGUGCCUAAUUUUAAGAAUGAUAGUCGAGUUAAAGCAUCAGUCUCAAAGUCACAAGGUAGUGGGAAGGGUGUUUGUACUAAUCUACUUUGCGAAGAAUAUGGUACGAAUCCUACGGGUAUGUGUAGAGAUGAUAGUGAUGUGUGUUUUAGGCAUGGCAAGCUAGGCCAUAGAGUUAGAGAUUGCCUAAAGAGUGGUCAGCAGGGUUGGCCCAACCGUCCUCCAGUUUUAUCCAAUCACUUAACUCAGCAGGGUGUUGUCGCUUUCAGUGCUAAUAUUGGUCAGCGUCAGAAUAGGUUAUAUGCAAUUCAGUCCCGAUAGGAUCAGGAAAAUUCUCUUGAUGUGGUUACGGGUACGUUGCCAGCCAUUCAUUUACAUUUUUAUGCCUUGUUAGAUCUUGGAUCUUCUCUUUGUUUUGUAACCCCCAAUGAAGUUUUCAAGUUCAGUGUCAGUCCCAAGACCUUAGCAGAGCCCUUCUACCCCAGUGGGUACACCUAUCCUAGCUAGAUGAGUAUACAUAAAUUGUCCGAUUAUAGUAUCCCAGUAAAUCACUUUAGUGGAUUUUAGAAAUAGAGUAGUUCAGUUCCAGCUUCUCAAUGAACCAGUUAGUAAUGAAGGGGUUGUACCUCAGUGCUUGGAAGUCAUACAUGAUUUUAGCUUCCUUCUCAGAAUCCUAUGAAAACAUAUGAUCUAAAGUUAGAAGCAUAAAACCAGAAGUUUAGCAACAAUAGUAGAGUUGGGAUGGUGUUAUCUGAAGUUGAGCAGAUUGUAUAUUUCAUGGGACUAGUCAUGUGAAAGGUUAAUCAAUAGAAUUGAAGCAGUGUAUAUAACAAUUUAAGUUUGUUGAUUCAAAAUAUGUGUUGUGGAUGUGAUAUUUGUAGUCUAUGAUGAAAGUAGUAUAAUUAUUAAAGAAUUGGGGAUAUCCAUGUUAUGUGUUAGGAUCUAAGUUUGACUCUUUGAAGGUUGAGCUAAUAGAAAGAGAAGUAGAAAAUUCUAAGUUAGUCAGUUCUUAAGUUGUUACAUGAUUUAUUUGGGGCUAUAGAAAGUUAAGAGUUCUAUCUCAAAAAGAAGUAUCAGCAGUAGGGUUUUACACUUUCAGGUGUAGUCUUUCAGGGUGAGUUUAGUGUUUAUGAGUAUUGUUAUAUCUCAGACUCUAGGGUAAUAUAGUUUCAUUACAGUUUAGAGAUGUUGGUUAAGUGGUCCACAGACUUAGAAGGAUGGCUUUAAGCUAAAGGGGAGAUACUAGAACAAGAGACCAAGUCAGGCUCUCAAAUUCUAGUAUUGAUGCCAGUUUGUUGUAGAACAACACUAAGAAGGGGAAUGCCCAAGCCAUGAUUAUUUUAGUAUUUGUACUUCAGUUAUUAUGAUAUAUACUCAUGCCUUGCAUAUCAGCUAUAUGCUAAUAGCUCAUAUUCAUGCACUUUUCAUAGAAUUAUGUACGAUUCCAGUCCCUUGUAUGAGAAGUUCCAGUAUGCUCAACAGUAUGAAUCAUGUUCCAUGAAUUCAAAAAUUUCAAACUUACGUCAUGCAGCUCAUGACUCAUGUGCUCAUGAUCUAUAGUAUGUUCAAUUCCAGUAUUCAUGCAACACUCCUAAUGAUCAACGAGAUCUAGAUUAUGUCAUGUAUAUUCUCAGUUUAGGUUUCCUGAUAAACCCAUGAUGUUGAUAUUCAAUUCCUCAAGCCUCUUUUAAGUGUCAAGUUCUGUACAGUGUUCAUUCAUGCUUCAGGUCCUCAUGUUUUAGCCUUUGAGUGACCUCUCCUUAUGAAAUGAUGUAGUGAUGAGCAAUUGCUUAGAUGGGACAGAGUAAAUAUUUUAUGUUAAGAAAAGAUUUUUGCAUGCUUGUUUUACUCGAGGCUGUAGUUAUGAAGAUAGGCUUGAAUGUUAUGUUGAUGUGUAAGUGGAUAAAUGUAUUACGUAUUAGUAAAUGGCUAGUAAGAGGUUAUAUUUAAUUGUUGAAUGUGAAAUCAGAUUUAUUCAUGAAAUGAGAGGUUGUGAAAAUGCAGGGUGUGUUAAAUUCAGGAUUCAGACUAGUAUUACAGUGUUAUGUGUACAUUUCUUAGAUCUGAGUAGGCUUGUACAUAGUAGGAGAAUUCAGUCCAGCUCAGACUUCAAUAAGUAGAGUUAUUAGUGCCAAUGUGAAUAUUUCCAAUAGUCUCAGGUGAAGUGCAGUAUUAAGGUAGAAGGUA